rnacentral:lncRNA from 1 species
AACUAGUAGAGGUUUUUCUUUAUUUAUAACUCUCCUGACAUUUUUUUUGGCUUUGCAGUGAAUCAUGGUUGUGGACAUUAUGUAUGAAUGUGCAGAUAUCUGUGAACAUGAGUUUGAUGUGGAAGUUGGACUUGGAAUGUCGGGCUUGCGCGUGAACUAUACCAUGUCCAAUGCUUCGUCUGUUAUUGUUUGGAAAGUAAUUGGUGUUAUUACAUGACCCGAAAAAACAUUUUGUGCCACAUCACUAGAUGCACAGACAUCACAACAGGCAUGCUGACUGGAUAAACAUUUGAACCUAGCUAUUAUGAAGGAAAUUUUGUAUUGACAACAGUUUUAGAUAGCAGGAGACGCCUAGCCUGCUCUGCCUCUGCUAGCUUAUUUCUGGCUUCUUCCAUCUCUUCUUUGGCUUGGGUGAAGAGAGCAUCUGAUUGCUCUUUUCGCUUCUUCAGGAACUCAGCUACAUUCUCAAGGGCUGUUGCACGCUUUCUUUCAGCCUUUACUAAUGCCACGAGGACACGAACAGCUGACGACUCCACCUGGCUUGUGUGUAAUCCAGCAUCAUCUUGGAAUUUGCACCUUGUGUCUAAUCCAGCAUCAUUAGGGAACUGGCACCUUGUGUGUAAUCCAGCCUCAUUUUGGAAACAUGAUCUCGAGGUUGACCAUACUUCCCUCCUCGCAGGAACUGCAUCCUGACAUGAAGUUACUUCUUUUUUAGAUCAAUUUAGUAGAAGCCAGAUAAACAGAACUCGGAGAAGUGAAUUCAAAAGGAAAAGAAAUAUAAAAACAGACUACACCGUGAGAACACCCACUUCCUGCAUCAAGUUAAAAACGAAAGCAUUAGGACGAUUAAGACUCUUCUUAUUACACAUCGAAGAACACCACGCUUAAGAGAAACAGAAACUACGACAUAUACACAUCGAAGAACACGAGGCUAAACGAAAGUAAUUGAAAGGGUGUUACUUACCAAAGCUCGUUUUACAGGUUCAGUGCAGCUCCUCUUUAACUUGCCACGCUCCUUGAAGAUGUCUCGAAUAUCCCGUGUUUGGUCUUCAUUGCUCCUCUGCAUGUUCACACUCGUGGUUUCAAAAUCUCAACAUGGCAAGAAAAAUACUACUAGUAAUACUCGCGCAUCUUGUGGGCAACAUUAAAGCACUCGUCUGCCAUGUUAGAGCAUCUCCAACAGAAUCGCAACGCGCGGCGCUUGAAAAAAGCGUUUACAGUGUUGAGAUCGAGAAGUAGAUAAUAGAGAGUAGAGGAUAGUUCUCAGCAUAGAUAGAUACAAAAAAGAUAAUUCAACUACUCCUCGUCGUCCGACUGCUCCUCGGUGAUGUCCUCCUCCGACGUCUGACUGUAGGCGUGAAGAUACCGAUCGUCGUCGGAUUCCCAGGGAGACGCUGCUCCUAGCCUCAUGUUGAAUUGAGCGUCCGCUUUUCGCCUACGCUUGUCCUCGUGAUAGGCGGCACGCUCCGCCCUUCUCUUAUCCCUCUCCGCCCUCCUUUGCGCGUAGAACUUGCGCUCGUUGAUGAUGUCCUACGGGAAGUGUUGGCACCACAGUGCAAUGGCUUCCUCGUCCAUCUCGGCGAUGCCGAGGCGGUGCUCCCGCCUCCGGUUGUCGCGACGAUCCUCGUCGGUGCUAAGCCACGGCAGAGGCGCGAGCUCCUGCGCCUGCUCCCGCGUCGGCACGUUUGGGAAGUUCAAUGUUCUAUGAGGCCACCGGAGGCGCCACGCCUCCGCGUUGUACGCGCGUGUGGCCUCGGUGGCGGUGUCGAAAUUGCCGAGGCCGAGGCGCAUCCGCGGAACUGGAUCUCGGCGGAGAAGCCACCGGAGGGGCGCGCGCGGACGCCGCGGUAUCCCCAAGUUUCUCGGCGACGCGGCGGCGGCGAGGCGAAAAAGAGCAGGGAGAGAGCGGUGGCGAGGCACAGAGCGGUGGCAAGGCACAGAGCGGUGGGAGGGUGUUGGAUUUUAUAAAGCGUGCCGGACGCCGCGCGCCAAAACUAGCGCACGCCCGGCCGCUUUUUCCCGCGCGCGUGCAAUCCUUUCCCGACGUCUCUGCUAUCUCUACUCUCUUCUCUACGGUUAUAUUUAUUUUAUAUUUAAUAUUUAAUAUUUAUCUCUACUUCCUUUACUGUCUACUUUUUUUCUCUAUACUUUUUUUUCUUGCAAUAUAGGCCGUCCGAUUUAUAUGUGACAGAUAGGAAGGAAACAAAUGGGAAUUUUGCAAAAAGAUACCCAUACCCCUCUCCAGAUUUGCAAAUAAGGCCUUCCCUCGUUCAUCCUUUUCUCCCACAAGAUAAACUACUCAUACAAAUGCAUCUUGAUGCGUGCAACGCAUGGGCAUCUUGCUAGUUCUAAAAACCUUUCCAUCAUUUGCCACACUGCUGGUUACAGAUGAAAAACCUACCCAAGCACAGCGCGAUACAGGAGCGACGCACAAUUACAAGCUGAUAUUCUGUUGGACAAUGGAGGCUAUAACCAAUUACUUUUACGGGAACAAUAGCACCCAGGAAAAUUGAAGGGUAGGUAUGAACAAAAUUGGAACUGCACAACUACUACUAAGUGAUUCAAUACACACAUUACCAAUCGAGGAGGAGAACGAUGGUCGCGGCGGCCUCUGUGAGUCAUGGUCGGCAACAGGAGUCAAUUCAUUGUCCACGAUGGUGGUACUUCUGCGCUUGGCGUCGGCUUCCGGGAAGCAGAUCCGAGACCGUGGAAGACGAUGUCGGGGAAGAGGCUCCGUCUACGAUGACGAUGGCGGACCGGCUCCAGUGCGGCGUACGAGGUCGUCGAUGAGGCAGAUGCGCUGCGGUGGACGAGUGCGCCGAUGUAAAGGGGAGGAGCACGAAGGCUGCGGUGCCGUGGAGAAGUCUUUUUUGCGGUGGGGAUAGAAAAUGGAGAGUAUUCAGGUGUACUACUCUGGGUGUCGGGGUGGGGCUGGCUGGGUAGGGUGAACCUGAAGUUACGAAAACAGCCCCCUACCAAGCGUCGUACGUAGGCCUGUUCCGAAGGCUAUGAUAGUAACUUCCCACUUCUCGAAUCAGGGUCGUGGGAGAUUUUUCGCCGACCUCAAAAUUUUGUGACACUGGACUCCCCGUGUGGCGUGUUGAGUGAUUCGGCUAAGCAACUAGCGAGUAGUAGUAGUAAACUCUGCAUAUUAGGUUUGACCAAAGUCAAACUUCCUAAAGUUUGACCAAGUUUAUAUAAAAAUAUCAACAUUUACCAUAACAAAUAUGUAUGAUGUGGAAGUACAUUCAAUAAUGAAUCUAAUGGUAUUUAUUUGUUAUUGUAUAUGUUAAUAUUUUUUGUUCUAAGCUUUCUGAGAGUUUACAAAACUUGACUUUGACCAAUGCUAAUACUCGGACUUAAAUAAAAACGGAGGGAGUACACAUUUGUUUUCUUAGUAUGUAGUGAACUAAUCAUUUGUUGAAAUUGUGAAAUAAAUAUAUUAGGCUAUUGACUUUGAAUGUAAUGGUCUAUACAAUUCAAUAGUUACAAUCAUUUUCGAAUCCCAAGAUGUAUACAAGGUCUAUAGUACUUCACAACAUUCUCAAACUCACAUAAUCCCAGUCAAAUGAGAAUCUAAAUGCAUUUCAUAGUUAUUACUUUGUAGGAUGCAACAAAAACAACCAAAACUCUACAUCAGCCAUUAUAGAAGCAACAUUUUGACAUAUCCCAUUGUGUGAAUGAAACAUGCAGAGAGAGCUUUUGAAGAUGGAGCAGAUAGGGCGGGAAAGAUUGUAUGUAUGUGGACGAGAGAGUAGGAGACAAAUCUAACGAGACACACACACACACACACACACACACACACACACACACACAGAGAGAGAGAGGAAGAAGUUAGGUCUGUGAGUAAGAUGGAGACAUGUAAUAUACGUGAUUCUGUAUACGUGGAAGGAGAAGAGUCAACAUGUUUGAUGAGAGAGCUGGAAAAACAUGGACGAGAGGGGAAGGAUCUCAUGGGUUGAGGAAUUGACAAUUUUGUGCGGGGGAGAGAGGGAUUGGUAAUUUUGUGCAAGAGAGAGAGAGGGUGGGGGAGGAGUCAGUCAGCUGUCGUCACAUCACCCUGCUUCCAAAUGACCCCGCAUUCUCUAGCGCGGUGUGGUCGCCGUCUUCGAUCUGCUUGAUGCCCUCUUUGAAGAUUGAGGUGUUGUGCAUNNNNNNNNNNNNNNNNNNNNNNNNNNNNNNNNNNNNNNNNNNNNNNNNNNNNNNNNNNNNNNNNNNNNNNNNNNNNNNNNNNNNNNNNNNNNNNNNNNNNNNNNNNNNNNNNNNNNNNNNNNNNNNNNNNNNNNNNNNNNNNNNNNNNNNNNNNNNNNNNNNNNNNNNNNNNNNNNNNNNNNNNNNNNNNNNNNNNNNNNNNNNNNNNNNNNNNNNNNNNNNNNNNNNNNNNNNNNNNNNNNNNNNNNNNNNNNNNNNNNNNAAAACAAACCUAAGGAGAGAAAUGGGUAUUCACAAAGAGAUUGCGCGGGCCUUGAGGUGGUCAGGGGCCGAGUGAGGGUGUCAAAAUGUGCGCGUUGAUGCAUAUGUUGCAUGCGAUCGUGCGAGGGACGGACGAAUCGAGAGAGAUGGUUGUUGUGUUAUAGAUGCUCCUCUCUCUCUCUCUCUCACACACACACACACAAGUAAACUAGAAGACCGUUCUCUCAUGUAUACACAAUGUAUCGGCAUCUGUCUAUGUCUCACUCAUGCAUGAUCAUUUGCACAUUCACACCUCUCUAUGUCUGUAUCACAUGCACACCGUCUCCACAUUGCCCUUCCGCCACAACACACAUAUGGACACAUACACACGUUCUCUCUCAGUCUCACACACAAAAUAAGUAUUAAAAAAACUAGGGCGCACCUAAAACGUCCAAAUCCAAAUAAACACAAACUGGAGCUAAAUUCAAAUAUAUGGAAAUAUUGCAGCGCCAAGAACUUUCCCAGGAAAAAAAGUUGAGUAAUAUUCGAGGAUUGUUUUCACACACACAAAAAGGUUCGGCGGAUGUCCCUCGAGUGCGACACGGUGACGCACCGUUCGAUCGACCGCGCGGCCGCGGUUCACGCGCUUGCACAGGAUUCCGUAUCGUGGCUGUGGUACUAACUUCAAAAAAAAGCGCUGCCUAAGUCUAAUGUUUACGUGUACUAGUACAGUUUUCUUUUAAGUUUGACCAACCUCAUAUAAAACUAAAGUAAGCUCCCAUACGCGCUCUCAUCAAUAUGUCGGCGCCGCCGUUGCACAUGCCGGCGCCUGCCUGCUCCAGCCAACAAUUUCUCGCCCAUCACCGCCGUGUCACCGCCAUUCCUGUGCCAUGAAGCCGAAGGCUCGCCUGCUCACGUCGUCUGCAGUCCCUCCUUGCCAUGCCGCCGCGCGGCCAAGCACACGAGCAGCUGGUGGAGCCACGUCUAUGCAUGCAGCGUACGAAGAGGAGGACGAGCGCGUGCUCCAGCACGCCGGCGAGGAGAAACUAGCAUGUCAUUGCCGUCUCCGCCCGCGCAGAGGAGGCGCGCAUGGUGGCUGUCACAGCGGAAGCUAGUCACGCACGCGCUGAGCCCGCAAACCGGGUGCGGACGCGGACUCUACCUUCGAGACCUUGAAUGCCACGUGGAUCCUGCAAUCUGAAGGAGCAAUUUGGGUCAGUCGACUCAUGUGAGCCAUUUGAUGCAACAUGGAUGGCUAGAAGGGCUUCUUCCACCUCUUCUGCCGUCUUCUUCCUUCGCUCCGUCAAACUUCUUUCACAAAUCGACUGACCCAAAUUAUACUACUAGUACGAACGUAUUAAGUACAGUGGGAACACGAAGGUACGAGAAGUAGUACCAACUGCAAGAAGAACAGUAGUAAGACAUAGUACUAGUACUACUCUACAUACUAAACAGUUCAAAUAACGAGAAAGAACAUAAACAUAGUUCUACUGGGGCCUCAGCACAACACACCCUUGAAAAUAAACUAAGCAACUAGUCAGCUUGACACUGCAGUAGAACCAGCAUGAGCGACGGCACUGCCACCUACUCGGAGUCCGAUUCCACGUCCUUGACUUCGUCCUCGUCCCUCUUCCUCUUCCUCUUCGCCGACGCUUCUUUGCUUGAACCGGACACUGGGCUCUGCUUCUUCAUCCAACCCAUGUAGAUAUUUAAACAAAGGUAGGCAUCCAUUGCUGCAUACAGGAUGUGAUCUUCAUCUAAUGUCUUCGACUCCCAUGCAUGAUGAAACUCGUGAUGAGGUUUUUUCAGUUUAGCGCACGAAGGAUCAAUCAUGGCUGCUGCCAGGGUCAGCAUUGAAGGUUGAGAGGAGGACACCAGGCUUGCCUUCUGGAGAUCAAAGGGCUGGCCUACAACGAGACCUAUCCGACGCAGGACUUCUUUGUCAUUCUUAAAGCCUACAGUAGUGAAUUUCACUCUUUUGUCCUUGAGGAAGUUCUUAAAAUCCCGGCACUCAACAUCGGCAUGGCAUAUUUGGUAGACCAAGCAAACGUUAUGUACGCAAACCUGGAUCAUGGCAGGCUUCUUCCUCUCUUCAUCCUUUAGAUCCUUCUCUCGUCCCAGGACUGUCGUGUACUCAACAUCUAGCCCAGCGACCCACUCAUCCGUUGAGCUGUUGAACAUGCGUAGGAAGCGAGCAAGCCAUGCUUUCACCAUCGCGGAUCCACGUGUGUAGAUGACGAUCAACUGAUCGCCGGUGAUGGCUCUAACCUGGUACUCAGCGGCGACCAUGGAGAUCUAGGAGGCCAUGGAUUUUGGAGGAGGGUUAGGAGAAGUUGAACUGUUGUACCCCGCAAAAACUGGGAGCGAACUAAUGUGAAAGGACGGGACGACUGGGAGCAAACUGUUGUGAGGUAGAAGACGGGGACGAGUAGGGUGUGCGAACGGCGUGGGGUUGCUGGCUUGCCCGGUGGAUAAACGGCUGCAAGCCCCCAAAGAGUUCUCGAGAACUAUGUGGGACCCACUAGAUAUCAUGUCUACUAAACCCAUAUCGUAGGCCUGACUGUAUAGCUUCUACCUGUUCGCACGCCAUGCCGGCGCAUGGAUGUAACUUCACUUAAUUCCGUCAACCAUCGCGCCUCCCACGACCUUCGCCUCCCUCGCGCGGUCGUGCCCUUUCAGACUUCGACCGGAUAAAAAUGAGCAAUUUUUUUUGCCUACUCCGCAUGCAUGAUACUCCCUCUGGUCCUUUUUACUCCCGUCAACCGUUUGCAAAGUGUUUGACCAAAUAUUUUUUUAAACACCACCUUAUAUUAAUUAACCAGCCACACCAGUACACUCAUUCGAUACAAUAUUCACCACACAGGGCGGUACGUUAUUUACAAGAAUACCAUCUAAUCUAUUGUCAAAGCUAUACUUAGCGAUUAAGUGUGCCACCUUAUUGGCCGAACGGCUAAUCUUUGACAAUUGAAGAUUGUUGAUCAACUUCGCGAUGCUCAACGCUUUCAUCUUCAGGUCACGCAUAGCAGACCUGUCAUAGUCUCCCGAUGCAAGAGACGCUACCACAAAAGCGCAAUCAGUCUCUAAAAUUACAGGAUUAUGAAGAGAAAUACAUAUGUGGAGACCGGCAAUGCAAGCCCUAAGCUCCGCUUCCUCCACGCUUUGACAGGCAUCAAUGAAAUCCCACGACCAAAUUUAUACUAAAAAUAUCAAUAUCUACAAUACUGAUUAUAAUGAGUAUAAGAACUACGUUUUAUAAUGAGUGUAAAAAUAUUGAUUUGACAUUGUGAAUGUUGAUACUCCCUCCGUCUAGGUGAGUAAGUCAUCUUAGGCUAUGCACCGUGACCAAGGAGGAGGGGAAAACGAGGGACAUUAAUGUUUAUUUGCUAAUUAAAUAGUAUUGCAUGCAAUGAACUAACCACUGCAUGUCAUGUUUGAUAGUCUCAGGUCAUUAAAAGCAUGCACACCCUCAUCUCUUAUUGGUUGAUAUGUCAAGAAACAAGAAACGAGGUAGAAGUUAAUGCACCGCGCGUACGUGUUUUGGGAUUAUUUGGUUUUUGUAAGAUGACUUACACACCUAGCUAUUAGAGUACCACUACCUCCCUUCUAGUUUAAAGGGCUCGACUCAAAAAUUUCACCUACUCUUAGCAAGAUAGUAGAGGCGGUGGAAUAGUUUUUGAAGUCUGCAAAAGUACUCAACUAAUGCUGUCGUUCUUCACAAAAAAAUGUGUUUACCAAUGCAUGCAUGAACACUAGUUAGUCUAACCCCCCUCUCUUCUUUAAUUCUUUGCCACAUCAGCAUGUUUGCUAUUCCCGUGUACCAGCUAAAAUACCACCAUGAUGGCCAGCUUUAAUCAUCGCAUGCAAUAAUUUAGUGCACCUUGAAAUAUGAACAUGUGUGGUGCGUGUAUGUUUUUAAUGACUUGAGACUAUACCUAGCCCGGCAUGCAAGAUGACUUAUUAUGCACCGUUCCCCAUACCUGCAGGAAGCCCGUUCAUCUCCAAAUCUUUUCCUCUCCAUGUGUGGAAACAAUAUGCCUGCCAAACUCUCCUUCUCCCUCUGACGGUCCCACCACUCCACCCUGUGUGAAAAAAUCUGCAUGCAUGACUCUCCUCCCCCCACGCUCGUCCAAUCCAUUGUGACCAGCAAUAUUUCCACCCCUUCGCUCCCCCGUAAUUUACUCCAACAAAUAUGCCCACGUAGAUUUUACUUAACUUCAGGUGCAUUGGGUCACUGACAUACCGGCCCAGCAGCGUACUAGCCCACAUGUCAGUGACGCAACUGGACCUGCAGUUAAGUCAGUGCAGCUCAGUCCAUAUCUUACGUAGGUGUGCCAUUGCUCGAUAUAAAUACUGCGCCUCCCAUGACAUCGCUAUCUCCUCCCCCUCGCGUUCACGUUCAUCGCUAUCUCCUCCCCCUCCCUCUCACGUCGACCACCAUGGCAUCUCCCCUCCCAAGCCCUAGGAACCCCUCGCUGCACCGCGCGGACGGUCAUGCGUCGCCUUUCCGUUCCUCGCCGCCACUAGUCAAGGAGGACGCAUCGGUGUUCCGCUCCUCGCCGCUACACGACGCGUCGCCAUUCCGUUCCUCGCCGCCAUUAGUCGAGGAGGACGCGUCGGUGUUCCGCUCCUCGCCGCGACGCGUCGAGGUGGACGCGUCGGUGUUGUCAAUCUCGCCGGCACGCGCAUCGGAGGACGCGUCGGCUCCCUGCUACGAGGAGAACGCCGCGCCGCCCACCGAGCCCCCCAGCCUUGAGGAGCUUUGGAAAGAAAUGGAUGUCGCCUUGUGGGAGGUGUUGCCUCCAGCAGAGCGCGCCAAAAUAGAGGCGGAGAAGAAGGUCGAGGAAGAGAAGCGCACCGCCCAACAAGCUUUCUGGGGGAUCUAUGUCGCGUCCGAGAGAGUCAAGCAAUUGGUUCUUUGGAAGAAGGCUCGUGCGAGGGCCGUGAGGGUGGUGGAGGACGCCCGUGCCGACGCCCUCAGUGCAGUCGGGCCCAAGCGCCUCAUCUACGCUUGGCGGUACGUGGACCGGGUGCACGCUUCCAGCCAGGAGGAGUACCUGUUGGCGCCGGAUCACCACACCGGUGAGAUCGCGCUCGCCCGCCGGCAAGCCGCCAAUCAUCACCUCGCGAGUUGCAAGGAUGAGGAAGAGGCAUUGUGUCGGUGCAUUGGGAAACGGCCGCGCACCAGGGCACUCGUGGCGCACCGCAAGCGCUCCUGCGAGCGUCGUGGCUUUUAGGAGGAGUAUAAUUUUUGUUUCAUAAGGCGAUCUCAUUAGUUUUGGGACGCAAAUGAUAAAUCCCGAACGUUUGGGAAUUUUUAGCGUCCUUAAUUAAGUAUGUAAAAGGGAAAGUUUGGAAACAUUGUGUAUUAUUACGCAUUUCGCAAGUACGUGCAUAUAGCACAAACUUUACUAUAUACUAUCGGACUACACGUCUCUCUCGAUAUAUGCUUGCAGACUGUGCUACUCCCUCCGUCCAGGUCAAUAAGUCAUCUUUGGUUGUGCACGGUGACCAAGAAGGAGGGAAUACUUGUACACCUAGACGGAGGGAGUACUACUAUUACUUAUGUACGUGCAAAUGCACGUUUGAACAUUACGAUGCGGUUUUUGUAAAAGUGAAAAAAAAAACAGCACUAGUCAAGCUUGUGAAAUGAUUCAAUGCAAAACAAAUGCAAAUAUUCUCGUUUGAUUGUUUACUUUUAGCUUCCUUCUCUGUGGUUAUUUCUCUGUGCACCGUGACCAAGGAGGAGGAGAAAACGAAAAACGUUAAUAUUUAUUUGCUAAUUAAUAGUAUUGCAUGUAAUGAACUAACCACUGCAUGUCGGGUUUGAUAUCUCAAGUCAUUAAAAGCAUGCACACUCUUUAUCUCUUAUUGGUUGAUAUGUCAAGAAACAAGAAACGAGGUAGAAGUUAAUGCACCGCGCCUAAGUGUUUUCGGAUUAUUUGGUUUUCGUAAGAUGACUUACACACCUAGAUGCACCGCGCCUAAGUGUUUUGAGUAACAUUUUAUCAGUUAAAUCUUUGGUCAAAAUUUAGCACAAAUUACAAUGAUGAGGAAUAAACCAGGAUGGAGUAGUAGUUUAGAAGCCCAAAUAAAUGAGUGAGGGGCCUUAUUGUUACUCUCCACUGUGACUAAUCUUGUGGGAAAAGCUGGGGAAGCCGCCAAAAGAACUGGCCCUAGGAGUAGUAGCUAGGGAUCGAGCGUGGGAGAUGAACCGGAGAAAGUAAAUGCAGAGAGAUGAAAUGCAAAAAAGACGGAGGGAUGUGAUGGUUGCUUGUCUGUUUAUUUUACCAGGCCAUUUAUUACUGGGAGUGGUUGGGUUUUGUGAUAUAACGGCUUUACUGUCGCACCACGAGCGGAGUGAGAGGUGAGACUCCCGUGCAGCGCCGCCCUCUACACUUGUACUACAUCGCUCGUGGUUUAUUAGUCCCCCAUUGAAUUUGACUGAAGAUUUAACUGACAAAAUGUUAGUGCAUGUCAACAAAAACUAUAUCGUUGGAUUCGUAUUUGAACAUAGUUUUGAAUGAUUUAAUUUUAGGUGACAUGCAACAGUAUUUAUAAUGUUAGUUCAAUUUUUGGUCAUACUAAUCUAUAGUAGUAAGGUGCGCGUGCGUUGCACCGAAGAGUGAAAUGCAUUGAUCAGGGAGUUGUUUACAUUGACAAAGGAUGUGGGGGUCAUCUCAUGUGUAACGGGUAUCGAUAGGUUUCUUCGGAUAUUAUCUCAUCUCUAGAGCUCACAAACAUCUGGGUGAAAUAGAUAAAAAGGUAUCUUUUGCAAACAAAAGCGUUCAACUGUUCAACCUGCAUCCAAAACUUAUGAAGAAAUAACACUUAUUGUGCUUUGCAAGAAAUGAUCUUUAAGAAUUAGUUUUUGAGUAUCGAUUGUUAUACAUGUUGGCUACAGAUGACAUGGCACUUUCUUAUUGUCAACAGUUGGCUAUACUAUUAAGUAAUAUUAACCAUGCCCUUAUACAACUAGACGGAGGGAUUAAAUCAGGAUGACUUGCAAGGGGGAAGAGGAGAUGUAAGAAAUGGUUCAUUGUAAGUCUUUCACCAGUACUGUAGUAAAAAUUCAUACAUGGAAGAUUCUAGACUAAACCAUAAACGGAUACACUUUUAUUCAUUCGCGAUACUCCAAUAGAGCAAGAACCUGCAUGGAAGUCUCCACAUGCUUGGACAGCGGAUUACAUUGAGCGAAGACUAAUGAUCAACAUUUAACUUGAUAAUGCGUAUUUUUUUAGAAGAACAGGGAGGCUCCUCCCCGGUUCCAUUAUCAAAUGAAAACCAAAGUGUCUUACAUCAGCUCAAUGAGAGGAGCAGUUCAAAGGAAGGACUGCGGCGAAAGCCACUCAAGUUUAACGACAAGCUUACAUAAUCAAAAGCGGCAAAGACACGGGCCAUAAGCGCCCACACACACACUACAUGUUUUCUAAGUGCACUUGAUAAUGCGUAUGUCCAGGUGAACCUCCUUGGAGUCCCCGUGCACCGAGUCAGCGGGUAAAGGAUAGAACGGAUGCCAUGGUUUUUCCAAGUCCACAUUGGCGGGAUAGUCCCAGCUCCUCAGAUUCCAAGUCUGUCCGAUGAGGCCGGUUUCGCCGCCCACGUGACCCGAAGGGGUAGUAGCAUUGACCUUGCACCCGUACAUCUGCCUCAUGACAGUGUCAGCGUCAGCGGCAAUGCCCCUGAAGCACGCUACAAAGACGGGGCGGCGGCCUGCGCAGGCCUCGCCGGUGCCCACGAUCAAGAGGAAGACGCUGCCGUCCUCCUCUGAGACUAGCAGGCGGCGGUGAUCCUCCAGCGACUCCGGCAUGGUGAACCGGUAGCACGUGUCGUACUUGAUGUUCUCCGCCUAGGGCCAGCAGUGACUGAUGCACGCAUUCGUGAGGUGAUGCACCAUGUCCGCCAGCGAGCCACAAAACGGCAUCGGGCACUCAUAGCAGUGGACGAUGGGCUCCUUGGAGGCAUCGACCAGGCCGUCCAUGAAACGGGAGUGGCUGUAGGGGAUGUUGCGCCAGUUGAAUAUGUGAGCAAGUUACUAUGAGAUUUAAUCCGAAUAAGCACAAAAUAAAUCAUGACGGCUAUAACAGAGAUGAAACUAACCAUGUGGACUAGCAUAGUAGUAGGAUACAGAGUAGAAACAUGAAUUUACCACAAUUUCAAACAGGAAGGACAGAAACACAUACGCUGCAACGGGAGCAGCACCGUUGGCAUUGAGGUUGUCGCCCAUGUCGUUGAGGAAGAGGUUGCCAAGGUUGGGGAAGAAGUCGUCGUCGGUGAAGUCGUGGCUGCCAGCAGUCGCGAGAGUGCGCUCCCUAGAUUUCAACAGCGCCUGCCGAAUGGAGCGCAGGAGGGAGUGGCUGUAGGGGACGUUGCGGCCGCCGAAUGGAGCGCAGGAAUAGCACACAAAGCAGUAGAUGGUGUCCUUACUAGUACUCCCUAGUCUCUAUCUAUCUAUAUCUGUAUAUAUCUACUCUUAUAGAAAACCGAGUUGGUGAUGAUGGUUUGCCUGCCAUCUUGUAAUAUAGAUCGUCCGAUCUAUAUCUAGCGGAUAUAAAGCCAACUAUGACAAUUUUACAAAAGAUACCCGCACCUCUCUCCACAUUUAUAGAUAAGGCCUUACCUCGUGCUCCUCUCUAUGUCUCUAUCUCUACAAGUACUUUUUUUAUAACAAAUCGAAUAGUGCUGCACCGUUCGCUGCACGCCCGGCUGAACACGCCUCCUCGCCUCCAUCAUCACCAACUGAGUCUUUUAUAGGAGUAGGUGUAGAGAAAAAACCGAGUUGGUGAUGAUGGUGUGUCGUGCAAUGCACGGGCAUCUUGCUAUUUUUUUGCAUAUAAGUCCAAACACCACGUAGACACGGUCUUUGAGCACGGUUCAUAGUCGUUCCAUGAUAGGGCAUCGAAGUUUGUAACUAUUUUAGAUUAGAAUAUACUACUCCUCCGGUGCUAGUAGUAGAGCAGAGUCCUACUCUACUACUCUACUCUAGCAAGCUAGGGCAUAGUACUGUAGUAGGUACUGUAGGGAGUACCAGUACUGUGAUCACUCAAGCAAGUUGUCUCGCAUCGAUAUGACCCUACGCUGCUGGUAUGUGUCUCGUAAGUCAAGCAGCAUGUUGUAGUCAUCAUCACCUGUCCACUUCCCACAGCACAUAUUCGCUUCUCCAUCUUUGUCCGCACAUAAUCUCGUCCAAGCUUCCAUCCCCGCUAAGGCGCCUCCCCCCCCCUCGUCUGAAACCCAAGCACUAACAAUGGCACAACUGAGCAGCGUCCGCCGAAAGAGUGGCUGGAAUUCACUCCCCACAGAGGUAAUCAAGCUCAUUCUUUCGCGUGUGGACAAACUCAGUACCAUGCCGCUCGCCGCGUGCUCGUCGGGGUUGUACCGUUUACUCAAAGCCCUCGGGCCGGAGCUUUUUAAGCUAGCUCCUUGCUUGCUGAUGCCGCCUGAUCUUCAGAAACGGCGUGUCACGCAGCAUAAUGAUCGUAGGGUGGCGAGCAUCAACCCCCUUCACUACGAUCCAAUCCCCGUCAGCCUCAGCUACAUUAACGGUAUGUACUGGGUCGUCAUGAACACGUCUUGGAUGGUGCUCGUCGAUGGUCGCGGCAGCUGGAUGCUCGUGGAGGUCUACACCCGGCGAUUGAUUCCCCUUCCUUCGAUUAACACUGCACUGCUUUGGCACUGUGGCCCAGAAUACUCGGAAUCUUACAGUACCCAACAUGAUACCGAGUUUGAUUUGCUCAAGGUUGUAAUCUGCCAAGUGCCCACAAGAUCUGGGAAUUAUAAAGAUUUCAGGCUAAUUGCGUUCUUCAACCGCGGUCUCGCCUAUCUGACAGGUCACUGCGGUAAGUGGAUAAAUCUGCACGUCCAUCGCAGGAUCAUACAUCUUCCAUGGUUCUCUGAUGCCAUUGAACACAAGGGCUUCAUUUACGCUGUCGACUCCUUCUAUGGCUAGAUGUAUUGCUGGCCUACUCAAGUCAUCGCUACAAACGGCUGUUACAGCAGUAUGUUACUUUCCUAUGAUAUCAUGAUGGCUUGCUUAUAUUACUGUCAACAUUUACUGAAAAAUAUUCAUGCUCAUAACAUGCUGUUCUUAAGAUUGACUAAAUCAAGAGCCCUUUUUUAUUUGACUCCAACUUGAUAUGAUGUUGUAGGCCGCCUGGUGUCCCUACCCUUCCUAAUCCCAGAACCUUUCAAAGAAAAGCGGCAUGGCAGUUGCAGGUGGUUCCUGGCUCGAUCAGACGACAGCGAAAGAUUGAUGAUCGCUCGCACGUACCGGACGUGUUGUUUCGCGGAAUACAAUCACAGUCACUGCAAGGUCUUUGGGCAGGAUCCUAGCUUCUCUGGGCCUUCAGGAAUUUUUGACUGGAGGCUGGUAAGUAGCCUUGGCACACGCUCUCUGUUUGUCAGACUAAAUUAUCCGAUUAACCAGGAGAUAACUGACGGCAAGGAUCAUGAUGGCAGCGCGGUUUCGUUCAUCAGGCAAAAUUGUGUGUACACAGCAUACCAUGCGUCUCUGCAUGCACCAUACCCUGAUAUGUGCCGCCAUGCUCUGCAGCCCAAAGUAGGAGAGAGGGUCGCAAGUAUCAGACUUCGACCUGCUGGCUGGAGUUUCCCUCGUCAGGCACCCAUCUGGUUCAAGCCGUCAGCCAAUCUCCAUAGCUUAAUAAAUAGUAACGUCUAACUGAGUCAGUUAGUUAGAUGCGUACACUUGGUGUAGUAGGAUCUUUAUUUAGUUUGAUGCAUACACUUGUCCUUUUUUGGUAGCCCUUUUGUAAUAAUGGCUGAUGUUUGGUUUGGAAGAGAGAGUUGCGUCUUCACUCUUCUGGCCUGCUUACUGCUUCUGUUGCACCCCCAGCCCUGGUUGCUGCUGCUGUUGUUUUCAAUGUACAAUUAGCAGUAUAUUUCUUCUGUUGGUUGAAUAUAAAUGUGUUGUUAGAACGACAAACACAAUGUUUUGGAAGUCGUUGCAUGGUUCGAUCCUUUAGUGCCCCGUACCGUAUGUAGCUCAUACUAUUUUUCGUACGGAACACAUUUUCCACUUGUUGAUAACAUGCAGCCCACUGAUGAAGGCCCAAUAGAGAAGCCCAUAAUUAACUAGAAGGGACGCUCUCACAUGAAUCCGGCCCAGGUACAUGCUCAUGGUCCCCUAAACAUAAAUAAGUAAAUAAAUAAAUAAAUAAAGCUAAAUGCUCAUGCACCAGUUCUUUGGGAAAAUAGGUAGCCCAGUAUUUCUUUUUGAAUAAUACCCAAGCUAGGCCUAUUUGUUUUCUCCGAAUUAUUGGGCUGCAAAUCUUUCAAGACGAGCAAAUGCGAUAUUAGUUUUUUUUUUAAUUUUGUUCUUCACUGAUAUCUUAUACGUAUUUCAUUGGAUUUAACAUGACAUAGUACUAACUUAUUUUUGAAUUUGUUUUAGUAUGGCUAUUAAUUUUUGGAUUAAGAAUAUUUCGUUCCCCAGCAAAAAUUUCCCACAUAUUUAGUUAAUUUUUUGACCCUGGUACUGACCAGAAAAUGGCCGACAAUUCUAAAAAUGGAAAACGGGAUGCAAUAAAUUCCAUAUGAAUUAGAAAAUGAGUAAAAAUUAUAAAAAUAAUAACAAAUGGCACGCCACAGAUUUCGAGGCUGACUUGUUUACGCAAGGCUUUGUCAGUGAACACAGAAUUCUAGCCGCCAUGCUUCUUCAAUCUCUGAUCUUCCUGCUCCAGCCGCCUAAACUAGCACCGGCAAGACUGCCUGCUCCCUCCUCUUGUGGCCCGCUGUGAAGCCGCGCAGGCUUCCCCGGCCUACCCUACUCCCUCCGUUGGCCUGGCCGCACGCAAUCAACUGCCUCCUUAUUACGCGAAAAAUGAUUACUCCCACUGACAUCUGGGGCGCACCGGUUGGGAGGCUGACCUGUGGGCCUACUACGUUGACGCGUACGCAGGGCUUGUCAACUUAGUCAAUAAACGAUUCUAGCAGCGGUAACCUUUGGAUUUGAAUCGAACGGUCCUGCUGCUUCUUCAAUCGCUGCUCUUCUUGCACCAGCCGCCCAAACCAGUGCCGGGGAGACCGCCUGCUCCUGCCUCCAGUGGCCGGUUGUGCUGCCGUUGAGUCCUCAUCGCCCCCUACUACUCCCACCGCUAGUCAGGCCCUGCAGCGACGGCAGCCUCACACCGCAGCCGAACCAGUGAACCCUGGUACUCCUCUCCGCGUGGGCAUCCACUGCCGCGUCUUCCCCGGAUCCGCGGCGUCCCCUUCCUAGGCCUUGUCGUCGUCCACCGCCUUGGUGCUCUCGGCGCGGCGUGGUCAAUGUGGUCAACGACAUUCCAUUAGGAGAGUAUUGUACGUGUAGAGGCUGACAGCUGGGUCCAUGGCCACAGCCCAGUUUUUUUGUGAUUUGUCAAGUAAGUCGCUUUGUCAGGCCUGUUGGGCUGUAAAUCUUUCAAGACGAGGAGAGCUUUCAUUCGGCUGGCCGAGAAAAUGGUCCAUCAGUAAUGAGAAAUGGGAUGUACAUUUUUAAAACACAUCAAACCGGCAGUUAGUUUCAAAUAUCUUUUUUUUCAUUUCGAGAUUUUAAAUUACAUUAAUUUUUAUGCGUGGAGAAUUUGUUGGAUUUUAUAUUGAUAUACAUUUAUUUUUAAAAUCAGUUUGAAUGUGAGUCGAAAUUUCAGGAUUAAAAACAGUUCAGACCGCACCAAAAUAUGCAAAAUUUCGUAUAAGUUUUUAACCGUGGCCACAAUAUGGGUUGUAAUGCUAACAAAAAGAAUAUGGGCUCCAAAAAAACCUUAAGAAUUAGCAAAUGGGCUGUAAAUUAUUAAAAAUAAUGGCAGAUGGGUUGUAUGCUGUUUUCCACAGAUUUGAGGCUUUCCUAAAAAAAAGGUUGACGCACAAGCAGUGACUGUUGGAUGGCCAUCCAACGGCCGUCGUGCUUCUUCAAUCUCUGCUCUUCCUGCUCCAGCCGCUCAAACAAACACCAGCGGGACUGCCUACUCCCUCCCACCCGCGGUCGGCUCUGACAGCUCGGACCCACCAGUUAUAUCUUCGUACGCAAGGAAGUGCCUCCUUAUUACGCACAAAAAAAUGAAUACUCCCCCUGUUAGCUGGGACGCAGUAUACUGGCAGGCUGACUUGUGGGCCUACUAAGUUGACGGGGACGGAGGGCUUUGUCAACUUAGUCAAUAUGCACGAUUCUAGCUCCAGUGACCGUACGACAUCCAUCCAACGGUCGUAGUGCUUCUUCAACCUCUGGUCUUCUUGCUCCAGCGGCCCGAACCAGCGCCGGUCGUGCAUCAUGCUCCUGCCUCCCGUGGCUGGCUGCGAUGCGGCGGAGGCAUCACCGCCUCCUACUACUCCCAACACUGGCCAGGCCAUCCCUCUACUCACUCACACCCCCUGUUAAUCUGCGGCGACAGCAGCCUCACACCGCAGCAAACCAGUGAACCCUCGUACUCCUCUACGCGUGGGCAUCCACUGUCGCGUCUUCCCCGGCUCCGCGUCGUCCCCUUCCUAGGGGCCUCGCCAUCGUCCACCGCCCUGGUGCUCUCGUCGCGGCAUGGUCAACGUGGUCAAGGAACGGCUUCCAUCGGACGUGGACUGUACGUGGAGAGGCUGACAGCUGGGUCCACGGCCGCAGCAAGGAAGUGCCUCCUUAUUACACGCAAAAUAAUUAUUCCUCCACCUGACAGCGGUGACCCACCGGACGGGCCACCAUAUUUAGCGAAAAAACGUGUCCCCAUGACUGCUGGGACCCACCAGCUACACCUUCGCAUGCAAGGAAGUGCGUCCGGACGAAAAAAACGAUUCGCCCCCUGACUGCUGGGACCCACCAGCUACAUCUUCGCACGCAAGGAAGUGCGUCCGGGCAAAAAAAACGAUUCGCCCCCCUGACUGAUGGGAACCACCUACUACAUCUUCGCACGUAGAGGAAGUGCGUCCGGGCAAAGAAAAAAUGAUUCGCCCCUCUGAUUGCUGGGAUCCACCAGCUACAUUUUUGCACGCAAGGAACUGCCUGACAGUCGGGACGCACCUGGUCGAAGCGUACAUAGCAUUGUCAUUCUGGUCGCGAACUUGUACAUACAUAUAUACUGGUCGAUGUAGAGGCGUGCAUGUGUCGUAGUAGAGGCGCGUACGUGUCGUAGUAGAGGCGCGCACGUAGCAUGUACACGUACGUACAGCGGCCAGGGUGCAAGAAAGAAAAUACGGCCACCUAUGUGCACAUACGGGCGGGGUCUCGAACGCCUAGUCGGGCAUACGUACGGCGAGGGCUCGUGUUCAUGGGGAGGCAACGGAAUGCGUCGUGUUCAUGGGGAGGAAACGGAAUGUGUCAUGUUCAUGGGGAGGCAACGGAAUGCGUCGUGUUCAUGGGGAGGCAACGGAAUGCGUCGUGUUCAUCGGGACGCAACGGAACGCGUGGGAGCCAACCGGCUUGGACGGAACAGGCGAUGGAAAUGAGGCCUGGCGUACCGCAGAAUGGAGGAAACGGACCUCCUACGGUCGAAACGGGGGUCCUGUUGAUCGGGAGGGGUGUGGCAUACUGCAAAACGGAGGAAACGGACCUCCUACGGUCGAAACAGGGGUCAUGUUGAUCGGGAGGGGUGUGGCGUACCGCAAAACGGACGAAAUGGACUUGUGUUGGAGCGCUACGGUUGAAACAGGGGGGAAGGGUGUGGCGUACUGCAAAACGGGACUCCACGGGAUACUGUUCAUCUCCACCGUCGACUCCUCCAGCCUCCACGGGCUACCGUCGACCUCCUCCAGCCUCCACGGGCACCUGUUCAUCCAGCCUCCACCGCGCGCUUCUCCACCGGCUACUGUUCAACCACCCCUCCACGGGCACCCCUCCACCAUCUACUGUUCAUCCAGCCCUCCACACCACGGGGUCCUGUUCAACCACCCCUCCACGGCCACCCCUCCACCGUAUACUGUUCAUCCAGCCCUCCACACCAUGGGUUCCUGUUCAUCCAGAGGCAACGCCACCGCUCACUGUUCAUCCAACCCCCCUCCCCCCGCAACGCUCACUGUUCAUCCCAGAGGCAGCAUCGAUCGGCUUCAGUUAGCAGCAGUAGCGAAGGAAUCGCUCCAUCGGGUUCAGUUAAAAGCCAUCGAUCGAUCGCUCGGGUUCAGUAACGCGUAGCCUGCAGUGCAAUCGCUCGGGUUCAGUUAGAGCCCAACGCCUCGCUCAGCUUCAGUUAGAGCCAACGCCUUGCACACACGCGUGUACGUACGAGAGAAACGCGCAUCGCUCCACCCCCGACCUCCCACCGUAACCGGCAACUCCCCGAAAUUUUCCUCCCCCUCGCUUCUACCAUGGUUUUUUCCGUCAUGGACAGCCCAAAGAAUGUCAUGCAGCUGCGUCUCCGGCCCGCCCAGGACGAAAAUCCCAUUUUCUGUCAUGAUUUUUUGUCAUAGAAGUAGGAGCCCACCACAUAUAUGAUGAUACCGGGUUUUGUCACAAUUAUCGUCAUAGAAGUGUCAUAUGUAUGACAGAAAAAAAAUUCGUUCGGCCCAAAAUGUCACGGAUGUGUCUUUUUUUGUAGUGAAGGUUAACUCCCAAUUUAGUCAAGUGGUUGUGGUACCCAGACAUUCUGAGUAUAUGUUCACUGACAGAACUAUUCUCCUCCAUUUUACAGCUAUAGAACUUAUUGGAGACUUCAUAUCUCCCAAUCCAAGCAUUUGCUUGAAAUAUUAACUUCAACUCAUGGAACAUCUCAUAUGCUCCAUGACAUUCGAAACGUCGUUGAAGUCCCGGUUCUAAUCCGUAAAGCAUGGCAGACUGAACUAUCGAGUGGUCAUCAGCUUUGCUCUGCCAUGCAUUCUUAACGUCAUCAGUUGCAUCUACAGCAGGACUGGCACCCAAUGGUGCUUCCAGGACGUAAUUCUUCUGUGCAGCAAUGAGGAUAAUCCUCAAGUUAUGGACCCUGUCGGAUUUUGGGUUUCGGCAGACCCUUGAGGUUCGAACUCUAGGGUGCACAAGAAGAUCUUUCCCCUACCAACUCACGUCUCGAAGCCUCGCAAGGGAUCUAGGCUAGAAAGAAGAACACAUAAGGGACACAAGGUUUAUACUGGUUCAAGCCACCAUUGUGGUGUAAUACCCUACUCCAGUGUGUGGUGUGGUGGAUUGCCUCAGGGGAUGAUGAACAAUACAAAGGAAGAGCAGCCUCGCGAGAGGUGUUCUUGAGUUGGUGCGAUGAACUGCUUGGGUGAGUUCAGUGGCCUCUCUCUCUCUAGUCUACCCAAAAUCUGGAUGCCUACUCUGUGGUGGCUAGCUCUAUUUAUAGAGGGAGGCCCUGGGCCUCUUCCCAAAUAAUGAGCGGGAAGGGCGCCAAAAAUUGGCCAUUUUGAAGGGGAACAUCUAGUACACUUAUCCUGACUAAAGUUGGUCUUCGACUGCCAAAGACUCUGACGGUGAUGCCGUCCUGGGCUCCACGGUGACCUCCAACCUACCGUUCUGCUGGUCUUGGUCUUGUUGCACCGAAACGGUAACCUUUGCCUGAUGCCUUGGCCUGUGCUUGCCCCCUUUGCACCAAAGAGGAAACAAGGACACUGCGUAGGCUGGCGCCCGCCUGGCGCCCGCCUGGUCUCGAUCGUCAUGGCUUGCGUCAUGGGCACCUUGCGAGGUACCCUGCCUUGAUCUCUCCGCCACCUCGCGAGCCCGCCUGAUGAGGCUGCUCCUGAGGAAGCUUCCUGUCGUCCGCCCCGCUAGGCUUGGCCCCUCGCGAGGGUCUUGAGCUUGAGCUGAUGAAGCUGGGCUGCACUGGGCCUCCGCUUGAGCCACGCCGCAGGCUGCAGGCAGGCAAGUCUGGGGACCCCCAUUCCCAGAACACCGACAGUAGCCCCCGGGCCCAAGGCGCGCCCGAACUUGGCUUAGCAGAGAAGCGAAGGGGAAAGUGUGAAGCGCCGCGGGCCCCAAUAGCAUGCGGCCUUGGGCACCGCGUGACGAUUGAUUGGACGUGGGCGUCUCCGCUUCCCCAUGAUGCCUCAUUACGCGCCCGACUAGGUGGAACCGUGGUUGCACACAGCCAUUCCCCUUUCGCUGUUCGCGCGCUUCCUGCCCUUCCUCCUUCCUCGAGCUCCAACCCCCGCCUCCAAUCCAACUCGAACUCUCCCCUCUUCCCAUUGCCAUGGCGCCAACGAUGAAGGAAAGGGGGAAGAAGCCCGCGCCUUCGCCCUGCUCGUCUCCGGCGGCGGCCCCCGCCGUUGAUCGGUCAAUCAUACUGAACCCCGAAGCCUUGGACAAGGUCCGUUCUGCUCUUGCCUCCAUCUUCAACAAGUGCGGCAGGACUACGGUCUGGCCUGCGUCCCAUGCCUCCUUUUAUAGGGUCAUCACGGAGGCCCGGUUCUUCGUCGUUGCCCUGUGGGCGGGUCUGGUUCCCCCCUUUUCCGCUUUCUUUAAUGCGGUGCUCUCCCAUUAUCAGAUCCACAUGAUGCACUUGGGGCCUGAGUCCAUUACCCUCCUGGCUGUUUUCGCCUUUGUUUGUGAGGCAAUGGUGGGAAUUCCUCCUUCCGUUGCCCUCCUGUGCCACUUCUUCUCUUUGCGCCUGAGUGACCUCACUCAAUGCUCGGGGUGUGUGAGCUUCCUCGCCGAGCCAGAGACGGCUACUUCGGGGAUCGAUUUCGGCCUUCCUCCUCCUGAGGCCAGGUUCAGAGAGCUGUGGUUGUAUGUGGAUCUCGGAGUGCCCAGCCCCCUGCUCUCGCACCCGACCUCGCCCGCUGUUCCCAACUCAGGCUGGGAUCAUGAGACGCUCGCGAGCCCCCGGCUCGCCUUCAUCUGGCGCCGCUUCUGGAGCUUGAGGGUGCUCGACGUGACGGCGCCCAAGGUGGUGAAGGAGUUCCUCCAACAUCGCAUUGCUCCUAUCCAUCGCCACUCCCGUCGGAUGUGGGCCUUUGCGGGGCACGAAGACCGCAUGCGGCUCCAGGAGGAGGAUCUGGCGCCUGAAGUGCUAAGGACGGUGCUCAGGGUCCUGACUGGCGAUCCUUCCCCAGGCAGCCUUCGACACGAGGCUGCCCUCUUGUAUCUUUGCUCGGGCAGGGCCGAUUUUGUGAGGCAGAUGCCUAGCUUUGACGAGUGGGGCUGCGUCCGGUUAGCCUCACGGGGCCCGCGAGAACCCAGUUGUUGUGGUUUCUCUUCCGGUCGCCCACGAUGGUCUUGCCUCAGGCGAUGGAGCGGGGAGACGAGAACCGCUGGGAGCUGAGGGGCCCGAUGUCGAGAUGCUGACGCCGCGCGGAGCCCCGAAGGCGGCAUCCCCCGAAGCCCAUCCUGGAGCAGUGGCAGGCGAGGAGUUGCAGCCUACGGCUCCUGAGGCUGGGGCUUCCGAGGCCCCGGCCGUCCCUCGUGAGGCGGCGCCUGGCGGUGUCCCCCAGGCCGGUUCCCUUGGCGCUGAUCACCUUGACGCCUCCUCCAUGCCACAGGCUGACCCUUGUGCCGAGCGCUUAGGCCGGUUCUGCAUAGACUUCGAGGCCCUCCACAAGAGGAAGGAGGCCUUGGGUGGCGAUGAUCGCCCUUGCCGCCUGUUGAAGCGCAGGAAGUACUUUGCCAUGGAUGAGUAAGUCCUAUUCUCUCUCUGCUCCUUUACCUCACUUUUCCUGCAGCUGAUUGCGGCCUUUCAGGGCCCUUCCUGUCGAAUUCGCGGAGACGGCCAAGGAGCCAUCCCCCCAAGCUUUGUCUUCACCGCUGACCCUGGGCGCGCCGAGCUCGAGCAGCGCCCCCACCGCUGGGCCGGUCGGAGAAGUGGUCUGUCCCGCUGGGCACCUCGAGCCUGUGCGCCUACUGUCCUCCCUUCACGAGCUCUCCUGGGGCACAUCUAGCUUGCCCCGCGCUCCUUCCCUGAUCAUGGAUGGUGACUGGCUGAACUCAAUCUUGAGUUCCUCCUCUGGGGACGGACCGGCGCCAGGCCAGAAUCCUGGCAAGGUCCGUCCACGAUUGUUGGGGCGCCAGACCCCAGCCCCGCACCGGGAGGGGGCAUUGCCGCCUCAGGGCCCUCCGCAUACACAAGUGGCAGAGGGUGACAUGGAAGGCGUGCUCAGGCGCGCUCGGGAGCAUCGCACCCUUUGUCAAGAGUUCCUCCAGGGGCCAGCGGAUGCGGUGAGCCAGCUCGGAGCGGAGCUUGCUGACGAGGAUGCGCGCCUUGAGGCCGAAGGCCUGCGCCUUGCUGAGGAGAGGCGCAAGCUGAAGGUAACCGUCGCCCUUGCGUGUCACCAGCGUGACCUUGAUAACGCGAAGGCUUAAGCAUCGCUGGUGGCUUCGUGGGAGGUCUGCUCCCAAGCCGUCGAGGAGGCCUGGGAAGCAGACCGACGGCGCAAGGAUGCGGAGGAGCGUGCGUGGGAGCUCCAAGCUUGGAGCAAUUCUCUGGAGCGGCAAGUGGAACUGCGCCAGGUGGCCCUUGUGUCGCUGAAGGGGGCUUCCGUCGACCAGGCGGAGCUCCUGAAGCGCGAGGAGGCGCUGACGCUAGAGGCCGCCGAGCGCAACCUUGACCUUGAGCGGUUGGAGACGAGGCAUCGCCUGGUGACUCAGGCGGAGGAUGACGUCGCCGCGCGGGAAGCCCGAGUCCAAGAAGAGGUCGACCGCCGCGUGGCGGAAGCUUGCUCGGAUCUUGACCACGAAUACGAAGUGAGGUUGGAGCUGAUCAGGGCCGAAGCUGAGGGUAGGACUGCGGCCCUCGGGGCCGAGCUAGCUGAAGUGACGUCGAGUGCGGACUCCUCCGCAGCCGCCCUUGGUGCAACGCAGGCGAAGCUGGCCUCUUCCCACGCCGAGCUGCUUCUUCUCCAACAGAGGGUUGAUGGCGCCAAGGCCGUCGUGCAGCGGAAUGAGGACGAGAUCCAUCAGCGGCAGACUGUGGAGCAUGAGCAUGCCCCCAUGCUCCGAACACUCAGGGGAAGGGCCAAUGCAGCCCUGGGCAACGUUUGCGAGGCGGUUGUUCCUGAGCCUUGCGUGAUCAACUACACUGGCAACCUUUGGUUCUUCACGGAUGUGGUGACGCAGCUGGAGACUCACUCUGACAGGGCCCGUUGGCUUGUCGAGGAGAGGAGCCGAGCCUUGCUUGGGCGUGCCUUCUCCCGUGUCUUAAGCUAUCUACAGAACAAAGAUCCCCACUUCGAUUUCGACGCCGCCAUCGCACCGGUGCCCGUAGCCAUUCGGGGCGAUCUGGCGCAAUGGGUGGAGGAAAACGUGGACGCCCUCGUCAGGGCCUUCGCAUCUGAUGAUGAUGGCAUGAUUGUGGCCGCCGAUGAAGGUGGCAUUGUGGACAAGCCUAGCAUUGAUGGAGGUGAUGGCGGUGGCGGUGACGAUGUCAGUGAUGCCAGCGACGCCUCCGGAGGCGCCCCAGAAGACGUGGUGAGUGAUAUGUCCAACUGAUCGUAUGUCGCUAUUGUUUACCCUGUACGAAAAAGGUUUGGGCUCGGCCCUGAAGAUUGUAAGAGCAUUUUGGGAGGGGGAGCCCCUCAUGCAAAGGUUUGCGAUCAGUAUCCUUGCAAACAUAACAUCGCGUGUGAGCUUUUGCUGGGCUACUAGCCUGGCGAUGGGUCACCUGACUUGUUUACCUUUUGACCCUGACGGGCCCCGAGCGAGCCUGUGGGAGCCGGAGCGCCUCAAGUGUCUUCUGGGUGAACCCAUUGAUCCUGCGACGACAACCUCCUGAGAGGGUGCGGCGACAGCGGUCCGGAUUGUAGACGUGCUUGGCCCAGCCCAGCUCGCGAGAGGCUCGCGAGGGGGGCAGCUAACGCUAACUUUGGACGCAAAGCCGAAACCAGAACAUGAGAGAUUGCUCGAACGAGACUAAACACCCCUUCCCCAAACACACACAAGUCUCAAGCUCAAAUCCAACUUAAAUUCGAAUUGAAGAACCUUGACAACAGAGGAAAAGGCAAAAGGCAAAAAGCUGCAUCCGGCACCUAGUCUAGUCUUCGACGUCUUCUCACCAGCGCGGAGCUAAGUGCUGCCACUAGGCGUGGGCGGGAGCCCCCAAGGCUCGAGGGCGGCUCUCCGGAGACUCCGGGGCAUGUACAGCCCCACUCAUUAUUACGUGAGAGUGCAUGGGUGGCGAGCUUCACAGGCACUGGGCCUUCUUCACAGGUACCGGCCUUGCUUCAUAUCGCCAGACGAGGGUCCCGCCUUGCGCCACACUCUACCGCCAUCAACGGCGACCGGAAACCAAGGACGACGCCAAUGGGGUAGAGUAGUCGCCAGCGGUUCCCCCGACGACCACGGGUCCUCUGCCGGGGGCAGGCCCUGAGGCACCUCCCCGGUAGAGGGCCUACCUCCUGAGAAUGCCUUGCUCCGAGCACCGCGGGGGUGAGCUUGGCUCUUGGCCCCUCUCCUGCAGCCCCCGGUGCCCUCCUCCUGAGGGGUAGGAGGCUGCAGCAUUAGGGCAGCCAUCUGCUGCAGCGACCUAUACCUCCUGCGACCCAUGGUUAGCAUAACCUUGCUCCUGGGGAAUUAGCGGUACCCGAUAGUUGCUGCCACCAGCGCGGUUGUCGAGGCUCUCUUGGGGUUCCUGAAAGAGCUAAGCUUCUGGCGCCUCCUCCCCCCAGCCUGGCCCGAGGAACGAGCCAUGGUCUUCUUCUAGUGCGCACUCUUGAUCCACCAUGUGGGGCACAUAAGCUUCUGGGGCCACCGCCCCGAGGGCCUCGUCGUAGUGCCCCGUGCGCCAUGUAGUCCGGCUUGGAGCGCUGUCUUGGGGGUGGUAGCGUGGUGGCCCGCCAAGGCCGAAGGCCGCAGCGCGCACUCCCUCACCUGCGGGAGACGGGGCCGGCGCGACUUGUCGCCCGGCGGCAACGGCCGGGUUGGCGUUGUCGAGGCCCUGCAGUCCGCUCGGAGUUGCGUGGGCACGUAUGGGGCCUCCAUACGGCCCACCCUGGAUCUGGGGUGGCAGCUGGAUGCAAAAAGGAGGUGCUCCCGAGGCGGCGGCGUCCAGGAGCUCGGCCACUCGCUCUAACAACACGUUGCGUCCGCCCUCCAGCAGCCUGCACCGUAGCAGCUCUCGGGCCACCGUGAGCGCGGCCCUUGAGUUCGCCUGCUCCCGUUGGGUGUGCGAUGUUGUGGCCGCGGCAUGGCUUGAGGCUCUUGCUGCUGACCGCACCUGCCGUGGUGUGAGGGCAGGCGGCGCUUGGCCGCGUCGCCCACGCCCCGCGGCGCCCUGGGGAGCGCGAGUUGCCUGAGGCGCAAGGUUGAGGUCGCCCUGGGCCGGCAGCAUGGUGUGGGCGGGCCACGCCGCCCAGUGGUCGGCGUUGGUAGUCGGGUCGCUUGACAUCAGAACGGCGAGGCGAUGGAAUGCGAGGCGGCGGAAGAAGGAUUCCGGCGCACCCCUACCUGGCGCGCCAAAUGUCAGAUUUCGGGUUCCGGCAGACCCUUGAGGUUCGAACUCUGGGGUGCGCACGGAGAUCUUUCCCUUACCAACUCACGUCUCGAAGCCUCGCAAGGGAUCUAGGCUAGAAAGAAGAACACACAAGGGACACGAGGUUUAUACUGGUUCAGGCCACCAUUGUGGUGUAAUACCCUACUCCAGUGUGUGGUGUGGUGGAUUGCCUCAGGGGUUGAUGAACAAUACAAAGGAAGAGCAGCCUCGCGAGAGGUGUUCUUGAGCUGGUGCGAUGAACUGCUUGGGUGAGUUCAGUCGCCUCUCUCUCUCUAGUAUACCCAAAAUCUGGAUGCCUACUCUGUGGUGGCUAGCUCUAUUUAUAGAGGCAGGCCCUGGGCCUCUUCCCAAAUAAUGAGCGGGAAGGGCGCCAACAAUUGGCCAUUUUAAAGGGGAACAUCUAGUACACUUAUCCUGACUAAAGUUGGUCUUCGACUGCCAAAGACUCUGACGAUGACGCCGUCCUGGGCUCCAUGGUGACCUCCAUCCUGCCAUCCCGCUAGUCUUGGUCUUGUUGCACAGAAACAGUAACCUUCGCCUGAUGCCUUGGCAUGUGCUUGCCCCCUUUGCACCAAAGGGAAAACAAGGACACUGCGCAGGCCGGCACCCUCCUGGCGCCCGCUUGGUCUCGAUCGUCAUGGCUUGCAUCACAGGCACCUCGCGAGGUACCCUGCCUUGAUCUCUCCGCCUCCUCGCGAGCCCGCCUGAUGAGGCUGCUCUUGAGGAAGCUUCUUGUCGUCCGCCCCGUGAGGCUUGGCCCCUCGCGAGGGUCUUGAGCUUGAGCUGAUGAAGCUGGGCUGCACUGGGCCUCUGCUUGAGCCACACCGCAGGCUGCAGGCAGGCAAGUCUCGGGACCCCCGUUCCCAGAACGCCGACAGACCCAGUCUGUGUAGUUGCUGCCAUCAUUUUUCAACUUAGCUUUCUCUAGGAACGCAUUAAAAUUCAAUGGAACGGUAGCACGGGCCAUUGAUAUACAACAACAUAGACAUGCAAAAAACUAUCAGGUACUAAGUUUAUGAUAAAUUAAAGUUCAAUUAAUCAUAUUACUUAAGAACUCCCACUUUGAUAGACAUCCAGUUUUGCACACGCAGAAUACUCAGGUUAAACUUGGUGAGCCUAGCAUAUGCAGAUAUGGCCUCAGAAUACUGAGACCGAAAGGUCGAGUGUGAAUCAUAUAGUAGAUAUGAUCAACAUAGUGAUGUUCACCAUUGAAAACUACUCCAUCUCACGUGAUGAUCGGACAUGGUUUAGUUGAUUUGGAUCACGUGAUCACUUAGAUGAUUAGAUGGCUUGCACCCAUUGUAUGUGAACAUAGAGUUUAUCACACCCGAUCAUCACGUGGUGUCUCGGCACGACAAACUGUAGCAAUGGUGCUACUCAGGGAGAACACUUAUACCUUGAAAUUUUACUAAGGGAUCAUCUUAUAAUGCUACCGACGUACUAAGCAAAAUAAGAUGCAUAAAGGAUAAACAUCGCAUGCAAUCAAAAUAUGUGACAUGAUAUGGCCAUCAUCAUCUUGUGCUCAUGAUCUCCAUCACCGAAGCAUCGUCAUGAUCUCCAUCGUCACCGGUGUGACACCUUGAUCUCCAUCGUAGCUUCAUUGUCAUCUCGCCAACUAUUGUUACUACGACUAUCACUGCCGCUUAGUGAUAAAGUAAAACAAUUACAUGGCGAUUGCAUUGCAUAUAAUAAAGCGACAACCAUAUGGCUCCUGCCAGUUGCUGAUAACUUUGUUACAAAACAUGAUCAUCUCAUACAAUAAAUUAUAUCACAUCAUGCCUUGACCAUAUAACAUCACAGCAAGCCCUGCAAAAACAAGUUAGACGUCCUCUACUUUAUUGUUACAAGUUUUACGUGGCUGCUAUGGGCUUCUAGCAAGAACCAUUCUUACCUACGCAUAAAAAACACAAUGAUUUUUCAUCAAGUGUGCUGUUUUAACCUUCAACAAGGACCGGGCAUAGCCACACUCGAUUCAACUAAAGUUGGAGAAAUAGACACUCACCAGCCACCUGUGUGCAAAGCACAUCGGUAGAACCAGUCUCGCGCAAGCGUACGCGUAAUGUCGGUCUGAGCCGCUUCAUCCAAAAAUAUCGCUGAAUCAAAGUAUGACAUGCUGGUAAGCAGUAUGACUAUUAUCGCCCACAACUCGUUGUGUUCUACUCAUGCAUAUAACAUCUACGCAUAAACCUGGCUCGAAUGCCACUGUUGGGGAACGCAGUAAGUUCAAAAAAAAAUCCCACGAUCACGCAACAUCUAUCUCUAGGUGAUGCAUAACAACAAGAGGGGAGAGUGUUGUCUACGUACCCUCGUAGACCGAAAGCGGAAGCGUUAUGAGUACGCGGUUGAUAUAGUCGUACGUGUUCACGAUCCGACCGAUCCUAGCACCGAAGCUACGGCACCUCCGCAAUCUUCACACGUUCAGCUCGAUGAUGUCCCACGAACUCUAGAUCCAGCUGAGGCCGAGGGAGAGUUUCAUCAGCACGACGGCGUGGUGACGGUGAUGAUGAAGUUACCGGCGCAGGGCUUCGCCUAAGCACUACGACGAUAUGACCGAGGUGGAUAUCUGUGGAGGGGGGCACCGAACACGGCUAAACAAUCAACUUGUGUGUUCUAGGGUGCCCCCUGCCCGCGUAUAUAAAGGAGCAAGGGGGGAGGCCGGACGGCCCCUGUAGGCGCGCCCCAAGAGGGGAGUCCUACUAGGACUACUAGUCCUAGUAGGAUUCCACCAAGAGGGGAAGAGGGGGUGAGGGAGUCCCGUAUUAAGGGGUCCUCGGACAGCCAGACUAUAUACUGUGGCCGGACUAUUGGACUAUGAAGAUACAAGAUAGAAGACUCCGUCCCAUGUCCGGAUGAGACUCUCCUUGGUGUGGAAGGCAAGCUUGGCGAUUCGGAUAUGUAGAUUCCUUUCUCUGUAACCGACUUUGUACAAUCCUAGCCCCCCGGUGUCUAUAUAAACCGGAGGGUCUAGACUUCUAGGGUUUAGCCACAACAAUCAUAACCUCAUAGGCUAGACUUCUAGGGUUUAUCCAUUACGAUCUCGUGGUAGAUCAACUCUUGUAAUACUCGUAUUCAUCAAGAUCAAUCAAGCAGGAAGUAGGGUAUUACCUCCAUAGAGAGGGCCCGAACCAGGGUAAACAUUGUGUCCCCCGCCUCUUGUUACCAUUAUCCUUAGAUGCACAGUUCGGGACCCCCUACCCGAGAUCCGUCGGUUUUGACACCGACAUUGGUGCUUUCAUUGAGAGCUCUACUGCGUCGUCAUCAGAAGGCUUGAUGGCUCCAUCAAUCAUCUAUAACAGCGCAGUCCAGGGUGAGAUCUUUCUCCCCGGACAGAUCUUCGUAUUCGGCGGCUUCGCACUGCGGGCCAACUUGUUUGGCCAUCUAGAGCAGAUCGAUAGCUAUGCCCCUGGCCAUCAGGUCAGAUUUGAAAGCCUGAAUUUUGUGGCUGAUAUCUGCGAAGACUUGAUCUUCGACGGAUUCGAGCCCAUGACGGUUGUCCCCGGCCACCACGAUGAACAUGACCUAGAUUUGUCAUCUGGCUGCGCACAGCAGAUAGCGCCUGUGACCGCCCUAGCCCUAGAGCUGGAGCGGACUGCGUCGUCUAAAGAUAGGAAGCUUAACCCCGCCACAGAGGUUGCAGACUCAGCGGCGCUCGAGCCACACACAGACCCAACAUCAGGCUGGGCUUGUGUCACCGGAACCUCGGACUCGCCAUGGGUUCUGGACCGCGUGCAUCCGCGUCCAUCGAGCCUGAUUGGGAGCCGGUCUUGGAGUUCAGCUCCAUGGACAUCUUCCAGCAGUCGCCUUUUGGCGACGUGUUAAACUCAUUAAAAUCCCUCUCCUUGUCAGGGGACUCUCGGCCGAACUAUGUCCAGCUCCAAUGGGAAGCAGACGAUGAAGAACUUCGCUUCCCACCCACCACCCACUUUAUAGCUACUGUCGAUGACUUAACCGACAUGCUUGAUUACGACUUUGAAGACAUCGACGGUAUGGACGACGAUGCCGGAGAGGAGCAGGAACCAUCGCCUACACGGGUUGGACAGCCACCUCCUCUUACGACAUAUACAUGGUGGAUACACCCAAAGAAAACAACGACGACAAUGAAAAUCCAGUCGAGGAUAAACCUCUUGAGAUACAGCCAAAGCGUCAACGUCAGUGAUGCCGCUCUAAGCCACGCCGUAGUAAAAACAGCAACACCGCCACAGAAGAAGACAACACUCUGGACGGUGCCGAAAACAAUGAAGACCUCGUUGAGCCAACCUCCAAACAGGAGGAACGGGAAGAUGGGCAAGUCAGCCCUAGCGAAGAAGCCAUGAAUGAAGACUCGGAGGAUAGCAACUACCUUCCGCUCUCCGAGGACGAGGUGAGCCUCGGCGACAAAGAUUUUAUCAUGCCCGAGGAGCCCGCCGAACAGGAACGCUUUAUGCGUCGGCUAAUUGCCACUCCAAGGAGCCUGAAAAAGAAGCAGCAGCAGCUUCAAGUUGAUCAAGAUCUGCUCAACGAAAGAUGGACUGAUGUCCUGGCAGCCGAGGAAUAUGGCCUCGAGCGCCCAACCAAAAGCUACCCGAAGUGCAAACUGUUACCACAGUUCGAUGACGAGGCUAUGGAGCCCGUCCUGCGAAAGUACAAUGCGGCUGACCGACCACCACGUGGAAGGGACAAAGUGGCACCUCGAGCCGAACACCAGCCCGCACUACCUCGCCGAACAAAUAGAAAUACAACAGCUCGGGGAUAUACACGUGACCUGCGGCAUGACUUGGAAAAUAGGGCAGGUCAGACAAGACCAAUCUAUGGAUCACGGGGGUGUGCCUCGAUGCGCGACGAUGGCCAUCCGGCUGAACGUGACAACAUUAACCACGCCCAGGCCGAAAACUGCAGACGAACUCCAUCCGAGCUACAUCACGACUUGGCCCGAUAUAGAGGCACCGCACACCCCCUUUGCUUCACUGAUGAAGUAAUGGGACACGAUUUCCCAGAAGGGUUUAAACCCGUGAACAUCGAAUCAUAUGAUGGCACAACAGACCCCGCGGUAUGGAUUGAGGAUUUUCAUCUCCAUAUUCACAUGGCCCACGGUGAUGAUAUUCAUGCCAUCAAAUACCUCUCGCUCAAACUCAAGGAACCAGCUAAAUACUGGUUGAACAGUCUGCCCGAAAUCUCCAUUGGCAGCUGGGAGGACUUGGAGGACGCCUUCAUCGACAACUUCCCAGGCACCUAUGUCCGACCUCCAGAUGCCGAUGACCUAAGUCACAUAAUCCAACAGCCCGGAGAGUCAGCCAGGAAAUUCUGGACUAGGUUCUUAACUAAAAAGAACCAAAUCAUCGAUUGUCCGGACACCAAAGCCCUAGCGGCCUUCAAACACAGCAACCGCGACGAAUGGCUGGCCAGACACCUCGGCCAGGAAAAACCGAAGUCCAUAUCGGCCCUUAUGGCACUCAUGACCCGCUUCUGUGCGGGCGAAGAUAGCUGGCUAGCCCGCAGCAAUAACAAUGCAAGCGAACCUGGCACUUCUGAAGCCAGAAACAGCAACGGCAAGCCCCGACGCAACAGACAUAAGCGUCUAAACAAUGGUGACAACACCGAAGACACGGCGGUCAACGCCGGAUUCAAUGGCUCUAUGUCCGGUUAGCGGAAGAAGCCAUACAAAAGAAACAAUCCAGGCUCGUCCAGUUUGGAACGCAUACUAGAUCGACCAUGCCAAAUUCACGGCACUCCUGAUAAACCAGCCAAUCAUACCAAUAGGGAAUGUUGGGUCUUCAAACAGGCCGACAAGUUAAAUGCCGAUAAUAAGGAGAAAGGGUCGCAAAGCAAUGACAAUGACGAGGAGCCCCGACCACCGAACACAGGGGGACAAAAGAAAUCCCCCCCCCCCAAGUCAAAACAGUGAACAUGGUAUACACCACCCAUAUCCCCAAGAGGGAGCGCAACCGUGCACUCAGGGACGUCUACGCGAUGGAGCCAGUCGCCCCAAAGUUCAACCCAUGGUCAUCCUGUCCGAUCACCUUCGAUCACAGGGACCAUCUGACCAGUAUCCGUCAUGGCGGUUCAGCCGCACUGGUUCUCGACCCAAUCAUUGGUGGAUUCCACCUUACGCGAGUCCUCAUGGACGGUGGCAGCAACCUGGACCUCCUUUAUCAGGAUACAGUGCACAAAAUGGGUAUUGAUCCCUCAAGGAUCAAGCCUACCAAAACCACCUUUAAAGGUGUCAUACCAGGUGUAGAGGCCUGCUGUACGGGCUCAAUAACACUAGAAGUGGUCUUCGGAUCCCCGGAUAAUUUCCAAAGCGAAGAUUUGAUCUUCGAUAUCGUCCCCUUCCGCAGUGGCUAUCAUGCACUGCUCGGACAAACCGCAUUCGCUCGAUUCAAUGCGGUGCAGCACUACGCCUACCUCAAGCUCAAGAUGCCUGGACCACGCGGCGUCAUAACGAUCAACGGAAAUACGGAACGCUCCCUCCGUAUUGAGGAACACACCGCGGCCCUUGCAGCAGAAGUAUAGAGCAGCCUUUUUAGGCAGAACCUCAAUUCGGUAAUAAAACUCCCGGACACCGUCAAGCGAGUCCGGACUACACUGCAGCAAGACAGUCCAGCUCGUCCAGAGCUUGACUAGCAAUUCGGCCUCCGUCCCAGUCCUAAUCAAGCGAUGACAUCUGUGCCACGCGUACAUAACUAUGCACUUAAAAUACCAUGGGCAUGGACGGAGGCACAGCUAGACUGUGGUCCAUAAUGCGGCUCAACCGCCCCUGGAUCCGCAUACCUUCACUCUUUCUUUUUCUUUCAGGUUUUUCUCUUCUCGAGGAUUUUCUGAUAACUUGAUCAUCGGACCCAUCAUGAGACGGACACACCAAGAAGGCAAGGAGCUUUGACGUACAAGGGAAUCCUCAGAUGGCCAUCAUACUAUAUCCUUCAAGGACACUGCACAACGAAGACAAAGGCGCAGACGUGCAGCAGGGCCCCGCAUUAAGGUUUCUUUUUUAGAUUAAGACCUUGUGUAAACCUUUUUAUCUCUUUUUGUUUUAUACUUUCCUGGCAUGUAAAAUGUCCAAGAAAGAUAUCGGCAUUAGCUGUAAAUAAACGGUUUGCCGUACUAAAGUGGAUGUUAUAGAAGCAGUUUGGUUCAUAUUGUGUUUUGAGAUUUAUGCUCUCACCACCUGCGCUCUUUCCCCACGUCGGAUUACCAUACGUGCCUUGAUACCAGGGUCUAUCACCAGGGGUUGUAUUCAGCCCGGUGUAUAUUGAAAAGGUCCGGACACCUGUAGGGAGUGUUGGGCGACGCGAGUUUGGCCUUAUAUGCAUCAGCUCCGAAUCAUGUCUUUGGUCAAUAGUUGGGUUGCCCGGAUCUUGUGCUUACUAUCUUACGUUCCGCUAUAUCGGCUAGGAUAGUAAAGGGAGAACUACUACGGUUGUGUCCUGGCUUGUCCGGAUGAGCACCUCAGCAGAGAAAACCGAAAACUCACUGUCAUGAUGCGGCGAGAGCUGGUCAACCACUCGAUGACUCAUCGGAAUCUUUGCGAUUCCCUUCGUGUUAAACGAAGGACCGUCCUUUAGGUCACGUAUGUAAAUGCACCAUAUUCGGAUAACCGCGGACAUACCAGGGGCAGCCCCACCGUCAAACUCCUCUGGCUAAGUGAAAGUGUUAAAGCUCUAUAGUCCAAUUGACUAGUUCGCCGCACUAACACCUCCUUAAUGGACCAAGAUGUUGGGUCAAGUGUGAUCAAGUGCUUUUCCGAACACCCCCACAUUAUACGCGAGGGGGCUGAAGCCGACGACUGCAAACUUUCAGAUGGUAUAUAUAAAAAAGACGGCCGCACAGGAGGCACCAAAACUUUUCGGGCAAAAAGUAUAAAUACAUAGCCUUAAAUAUAUCAUAAUAUUGUUAUUACACUUUCGAUACACUUCACUCGAACGUAAUAUUUUUCGAGCACUGACCCUCUAUCAAGCGGGCACCCUCUAGGACAUCUUCAAAGUAAUGUUCUGGCAUGUUAAGGUCCUUGACUUUGGGUGGACUCUGCGCUGCAAUAUCGGUGGCCUUCAUCUUUACCCAGUACAUCUUGACACGGGCAAGGGCCAUCCGUGCACCUUCUAUGCACGUUGACCGCUUCACGACAUCGAUACGCGGCACCGCAUUAACAAGUUGCCACACCAAACCAAAAUAACUAUUCGGAAUGGGCUCAGUUAGCCACAGCCAGGCUAUGACGUCCUUCAUGGUGGUACAGGACAUCUUGUGGAGAUCGGCCCACUGGGCCAUCCGUUCGCUCAACAUCGGACGCUUUGGCGUAUCAAAUUGCGACCAAAAUAGCUUUUCCGUCGCAUGUCCUUCUUGCGCGUGGAAAAACUGAUUCGCGUUAGCAGCACUCUUUGGCAGGUCCAUAAAGGCGUCUGGAGAACUCCAUAGUUGAUUAAGAGGCGCAUACUUCGGAUCGCCAAACUUAGUUUGCAAUAAAAAGGGCUUACCAGCCGCGAUCUCCCCAGAUUGUCGGAUCUCCUCCCGAGAUGCUCUAGACUCAGACCGGGCUUCCUUCACCUCUUGUAAGGCCUUGUCAAGAUCGGACACUUUGGCUUUGUUAUCUUUCUCAAGAACUUGGCAUCGGCUAGUGGCAUCAUUCAGUUCAAGUGCCAUAGAAGAUAUUCUCUCCUCACACUGACGCCGAGCAAUCUGCUCGGCCUUUAAUCCGGCAGCUACCUUUUUGACAGCCGCAUUACUCAUCCUGGCUUGCUCCUUGGCCCGGGCAAGUUCGGCCCGAAGGGUCUCAACUGCGGCGGCACUAUCUGCAGUUAUGCAUAUACAAAUUUCUAGUAUCACGCUCAUUUCACAAUACUAGCAUGUACUGAGUGCCCCAGAGACAUACCUUGCACCUCGUCGAGCCGCCUGUUAAUAAGCGUGAUGUCAUCAUCCGCUACAUCAACUUUCUGCUUCAGAUGUGCUACCUCUGUAGAUUGGGCAGUUGCCACGGAUGUAAUAGCCUGUGUUUCAAUUAGUUAGAUCAUUUCCUGGGCAUAUAAUUUUCAUCCUAUGAUCGCCUCCCUUCGGAUGUCAACCAGAGUCUCAGGGGCUACUAUCUAUACACAGGUGCAAUUUGCAUUUAUAAUAUGAUUGAAGUUACACUAUGUACCUCGAAGCCUCUUAGUAGGCUCGUAAAGGCUUCAUUCAAUCUGCUUUUUGCGGACCGAACUCUUUCAACCACUGUACCCAUCCAGGUACGAUGUUCCUCUGGGACGGACGCAUGUUGCAACAUGUCCAUCAAUGUAUCCGGCGCCCCGGAUCCGGAACAGGUUGCGUCGUCCCUCGGACAUCAGAUAGUCUGGGACUUUCGUUGUUCCCCGUAGGGGCCGCACACAUCGGAUCAUGGGCGGCCAAUGUAUUACCUUCGGCCCUGGUCUUCACUACCCCUUGCACCACUCGUUGGUCGGGAAGGAUCCUCCGGGACGACACCUAGGCGUCGUCUGCCUUUUCAGGCAGGGAGAUCUGUGGAGGCGUUUCUCUCUCCAUCAUCUCCGGAAGAAGAUCCCCCGAAGAGGAGGACUGUUGAGGAGGGCUGCGCGCCAGACUGCAAACAUGUGUUAAAAUGUUACCCUUACAGCCAGGAAAGAAUGGGAUAUGUUUAAAACACCCUGGUUCACUUAUGAUCCGGCUAGGGGCCUAUGUUAAUGGAGUGACUGUGUGUCAGCAUCAUCCCCUGACUGUGAUAUCUUCCCCCGCUUAGAAGCUUCUCUCUUCAAGUCUUUAGAGGCGGUCCGCUUCUUCCCAUGAGGAGAAGGGAUGUCAGCUUGCUCUUCCCUUCCACUUUUGGAAGUGGAAGUUCCGAUCUCCCCGAACAAAUUCCCUGGUGUGCCUCCAGAAUGAAGGUCGCCUUGGGCCUCCGCCGGCACUUGAUAUGGUGCCGGAACCAGCAUCCUUGUUAACACGGGAUCAACAUAGUCUUCGGGAAGUGGAGCCGAACACCUGAUUCUCUCCGCCUUCUUCAGCCAGCCCUGGCCGAGUAGAGUUUUAUCAAUACAAUGGUAUGAGUAAUCUGACUAAACUGUGUUCGGGAGUUAAGUACUUACCGGAGUAUCCAGAUGAUUGCAGUCAAUACCGAGGUCUUCUGUUGUAUCUGGCCACUGUUUUCGUGCGCCGAAGAAUAAAUUCCACAUCCCUCUGAGCAUUGUGCCGGAGAAGUGUUGAAGGGUCCGUGCACCUUACGGAUUGAACUCCCACAUGCUGAGAGGAUGCCGUUGGUAUGGAAGGAUCCGGCAGAGUAGCAUUACUUGGAUGAUAUUGGUGAGGCCGGUGCCCUUCUUAAUGAGGCUCCAAAUGCGACUUUGUAAUGUCUGCACUUCAUCAACAUAACCCCAGUCCAACCCUUUGUUGACCCACGAUGCAAGCUGUAGCGGAGUGCCAGAUCGAAACGCGGGUGCAGCUACCCUCUUUUUACCAUGGGGUUCGGUAAUGUAAAACCACUCCCAUUGCCAUAGGUCAGAAGAUUCUGCGAAGGAGCCCUUCGGCCAGGGAGAAGUGGUAAGUUUGCUUAUUGAAGCACCUUCGCACUCCGCUUGUUUCCCGUCAAUUACCUUCGGUUUCACGUUAAAGAUCUUAAGCCAUAAGCCGAAGUGUGCGGAAAUACAGAGGAAGGCCUCGCACGUGGUGAUGAACGCCGAGAUGUGGAGGAAGGAGUCUGGGGCUAGAUCAUGGAAAUCUAGUCCAUAAUAAAAUAUGAGCCCUCGAACAAAGGGAUGGAGUGCAAACCCAAGCUCUCAGAGGAAGUGAGAGAUGAACACGGCCAUCUCAUUGGAUCUGGGAGUGGGAAUAACCUACCCUUGAGCAGGAAGCCUAUGGAAGAUUUCCACAGUCAGGUAUCUUGCCUCCCUGAGCUUUGAGAUAUCUUCCUCUAUGACAGAAGAGGCCAUCCAUCAGCCUUGAAAGCUGGGUCCGGACAUGGCUGGAUGCUCGAAGCGACUGGAUUAACACUUGGGUGUUGGAACUUGAGGUGGGAGGUGGAGGAAAGAACUAGCAUGGAAGUAAAAGGAGAGGCCUUAGCCCCUUUAUAAAGGAGACAAAUACCAAACGUCCCUUCCACGGCCUUAAAACAUGCCUAUUACCAAGGAAACAUGCCAAUAGAACAGUUGGGUUACCCACGCUUGUGUUGAUGAAAAUCCCGCAAUAAGGGACACAAUUUCUGCUUUGAUAAGACGUGCCAAUAAAAACCGCCUCUCAAAACAUGGAGUGGCAGGCUAGAAAACGAUUCAAAAUAAUGGCCGGGUGAUGAUGUAAUGUCGUGCUACCAAAAUUGUCAACGGAUUGGAUUUGUGAAAUAUUAUACUCUCUACAGUUGUGUGUGGAACUUGUUUUGCAGAGCCGGACACGAUUCUUAUGUUCAAAAUCUAUGUUGGAGUAUUCAGAGAAGGAGCCCGCCUUGCAAUGCCGAAGACAAUCUGCGCGCUGGACUCAUUGUCAUUGAAGCCUGGUUCAGGGGCUACUGAGGGAGUCCCGGAUUAAGGGGUCCUCGGACAGCUGGACUCUAUAUUGUGGCCGGACUAUUGGACUAUGAAGAUACAAGAUAGAAGACUGCGUCCCGUGUCCGGAUGGGACUCUCCUUGGCGUGGAAGGCAAGCUUGGCGAUUCGGAUAUGUAGAUUCCUUUCUCUGUAACCGACUUUGUACAACCCUACUCCCCCCCCCCCCAGUGUCUAUAUAAACCGGAGGGCCUAGACUUCUAGGGUUUAGCCACAACAAUCAUAACCUCAUAGGCUAGACUUCUAGGGUUUAGCCAUUACGAUCUCGUGGUAGAUCAACUCUUGUAAUACUCGUAUUCAUCAAGAUCAAUCAAGAAGGAAGUAGGGUAUUACCUCCAUAGAGAGGGCCCAAACCUGGGUAAACAUUGUGUCCCCCGCCUCUUGUUACCAUUAGCCUUAGACGCACAGUUCGGGACCCCCUACCCGAGAUCCGAUGGUUUUGACACCUACAGGGGGAAGGAAGGAGAGGGAGAGGGGGAAGGAAAGGGGGGCACCCCCCUCCCCUUCCUUGCCCUAUUCGGACUCAAGGGGAGGGGGCACGCUGCCUACCCUGGCCGGCCCCUCAAUCUCUCCACUAGUGCCUAUCGAGGCCCAUUAGUUCCCCCGGGGGUUCCGAUAACCCUCCGGCACUCCGGUUUUAUCCGGACCUUCUCCCGAACACUUUCGGUGUCCGAAUAUAGUCGUCCAAUAUAUCAAUCUUUAUGUCUCGACCAUUUCGAGACUCCUCGUCAUGUUCGUGAUCACAUCCGGGACUCCGAACAACCUUCAGUACAUCAUAUAACAUAAAAUCAUAAUACCAAUCGCCAUCGAACAUUAAGCGUGUGGACCCUACGGGUUCGAGAACUAUGUAGACAUGAAUGAGACAUGUCUCCGGUCAAUAACCAAUAGCGGGACCUAGAUGCUCAUAUUGCUUGCUACAUAUUCUACGAAGAUCUUUAUCGGUCAAACCGCAUAACAACAUACAUUAUUCCCUUUGUCAUCGGUAUGUUACUUGCCCGAGAUUUGAUCGUCGGUAUCAUCAUACCUAGUUCAAUCUCAUUAUCGGCAAGUCUCUUUACUCGUUCCUUAGUACUUCAUCCUGCAAAUAACUCAUUAGUCACAAUGCUUGCAAGGCUUAUAGUGAUGAGUAUUACCAAGAGGGCCUAGAUAUACCUCUUCGAAACACGGAGUGACAAAUCCUAAUCUUGAUCUAUGCCAACCCAACAAACACCUUCGGAGACACCUGUAGAGCACCUUUACAAUCACCCUUUUUUGUUGUGACGUUUGGUAGCACACAAAGUGUUCCUCCGGUAUUCGGGAGUUGCAUAAUCUCAUAGUCUGAGGAACUCGUAUAAGUUAUGAAGAAAGCGGUAGCAAUGAAACUGACACGAUCAUAAUGCUAAGCUAACAGAUGGGUCAUGUCCAUCACAUCAUUCUCCAAAUGAUGUGAUCCAGUUUAUCAAAUGACAACACAUGUCUAUGGUUAGGAAACAUAACCAUCUUUGAUUAAUGAGCUAGUCAAGUAGAGGCAUACUAGGGACUAUAUGUUAUGUAUUCACACAUGUACUAAGUUUCUGGUUAAUACAAUUCUAGCAUGAAUAAUAAACAUUUAUCCUGAAUUAAGGAAAUAAAUAAUAACUUUCUUAUUGCCUCUAGGGCAUAUUUCCUUCAGAGUGGGUAUCCUAGAUUUUUUGAGGCGAUUAGGCUUUUCUCUCUCCGCAGCACAUUGUCAUGAAGUCUCCUUAGAUCGCCGUGUAUGACCUGUACCCAUGCUUUAGGUAGGAUUGGUUCACCGGUGAUAUGGUAUUUCACCGCACUGGGGAGAGGUAUACGGUCUUGAACCCUAGGCUGAGGAGGCAGCUGGAUCAUAGCAGCAGCUUUAUUGCUACCUUUCCUCACUCUCUUCCGAUGCUUCUUUGGUGGAAGGUCAUCUACAGUAUGUUCAGGCUCCGGAGGCGGCAAUUCAGGAACCGACUCAUGACGCUCAAACCGUGAGUACUCAUACUGCUGAGCCAUCGAUCCUCCAUCAUCAGUGGCGCCAGUAUUGAGAUACUGUUGAGUGUCAUCGUCAUCCUCAUCCUCAUCUAUGGUGACGUCAUCAAUGACUAAUGGAGCCUCUUCCUCACCCAGUUCGCUAUCUCCCAGCACGACAGGCGACGCUAAUUGGGUAGGUGGGGUGAUGAUGUUCAUACCUUGCAGAGGCUGCGUGGUCGUGGGUGUGCUCCCGGUCGCCUCCAGACGAAGAAGACUCUUUGGCCACAGCAGGACCCACGUCUUGCAAUCGCCAAGCCGCCGCGCUGUCUCGCCGUCAUCUCCCCCUAGUACCAGAGGAACCAAAUUCUCGUGGCCCGGUUUGACACUGGCCACGAAAACCCUGAAGACGUCUGGGGCGAUCGGCCGGCUGUGGAACAAUUGUUCCUUCGGAUUCAUUAUCGUCCCCUUCGCCACGUCCACCUUCUGGAUGUUGAUGUCGUACAAUAUGGUGCAUGGGGUGUUGGCCUGCAAAGACAUGUCUGUGAUGUGAGACAUCCGAAAGGUAAUGGAAACAGGAGAUUAUACAUUUAUUGAAGAGGGUCGGUGUGACAGGUACCGUGAGGGCGUCGAGCUCAGCCAAAGACGAAGCAGGUGUGGGAGCUGGUGCAGGUGUAGGUGUAGGUGCUAGUGCAGGUGCUGGUGCAACGCUAGUCGAGCUGUCCCCGAAGAAGUCGGCAAGGGGAAAGUCUGCAGCAUCUUUUUCUGGAUUUCGCCUGCUCCAACAGACGUUAGCCGGAACCAAGAAUAUCAGCUCCCGUUUUACGGCAGCUACCGCUGUUGCGAUUGUCUUAGCUGAAUUCUUCCCAACCGCAAUCUUAACCUUCUUGUCGAUGCUUUCUUCAGUUAACCUCCGUCUUUCCUUUCUCUCCUCCAUGGUCUCACCGUAGUACUUCUUCCACGUGGCGCUAUCUCCAACACCGUGCACACGUCCAUAUGAUGGCCGAGUGUCCACCGGGAGAUGUUUCAAUAUGUUCAACGCCCGGUUGAAUGGGGUGUCCCACUUGGGCCUCGCCAACGCCUUAGACGGCGAGUCACUUUCGGCCGCAAUCCUGUGCUGCUCUCUUUGCAAAAGGAACAAGGGCGUUUUACAAAUAUGACUAAAUGUGCAGUCGAAUUGAUCAGAAACUAAAAUUACCAGCAGUCUCAUGAACUCUGUCGCGACCAAGUCCGUCUCGAAAACCUUCCUGACUGGGUCCCAACGAUACCGGGCCCUGAGGAAGUCAUACUCCUGCGGGACGGUGAACUCGGCCAAGGGGUCUGGGAUGCCCAGACUUUCGCGUUAUGCGUCCUCCUUGGCCCAUAUGGACCUCUUCCCCGUAUAACCACGACUUCCGAGGUGGUGGUGCCCCAUGUUCCUCAGUUGAAGCCCCUUCAUGUACUUUGACCUUUUUUGGCAUCUUCGGCAUUGCAAGCCGCCUUGAAUAGUUCAAACUGCUCUAACGUGAUUGUCGGAUUUUCCUUCACAAUCUUGAAGUAGUGUUCCUUUUUGUCGAUGGCGCGUUUCACCCUUCCUUUCAGGCAGCCAACAUGUUGCUACACUUGGUCAUGGCGCGUUUGUUUAUCCGCUUCAUUGUCGGGUCUUUCUUUGGAUCUUUAUAUUGGAUUUCAUCUGGUGCAGCAGUGUUAGGAUGGAUUUCUUCAUAUUUGUCCUCUUCUUUAGUUUCUCAUCAUUGAUGGUGGCGCACGCCCGUACGAUGCAACCUAUCUGAUUGUCAUAGCAGGAGCCCACUUCCACGGGCAGUUUUGGCUCAAAAUUGUCGUCAUCCACCUCCAUGACCACUAGUCUAGUAGUGAGGAGCUGGUUUAGGCGUCGACAUCUCCUCUUCGAUUUUGGUUCUAUGGCUUUGCCCGUCUCGGCGCCGGUCUCGGUGUCGGGCUCGGUGCCGGGCUUGGUGUCGGUCUCGGUGCCGGUCUGGGUCUCAACGCGAGUCUCAAUGUCAACCUCGGAUGAGAUAGAUGGGCCUAGCAACAACAACCAUUGAUUCUUGGCAAGGCUCACAUAUUCGUGUGCCGCCAGGUAGACGUCAUCGCAGUCACCAGAACCCUGUCCAUCAUCAUUGCUAGCCAUGUUUCCUAUGAUUAAAUCUAGUCAAUUAAUUCUAGACCUAAUAAAAUGAAUAAUGACAUAAAAAAUUCCUAUGUUUUGCAGGAACGUUGAUUCCUUCCCGGUACGGCAAAUCCCGGGCACUCGAUAUGUCCUAGUUUGUAGCACAGGUCAUCCCGAAAUUCAUGGAAAAUUUUGGCAUGACCUUUGCUAAAAAGUGGACAAAUCGAGCACCUGCAAUUUGUCGGAAUGGAAAUGAAUCAACAUUCCGACAAAACAUAGGCCACUCGGCUUCAUUCCCUGGAAACAACAAAAGGCCACUUGGGCUCAAUCGAACCACUUCAAUAAAAAGAUAUAACAUGACCACUUCAAUGAAAAGAUAUAAUCAACAAUAAAAGUCUAGGAAGGGAUCAUCUUUAAAAUAAAACUUGCCUAAAUUCUUUUCCUUGAAAAAUAGUGGUCUUUUCAAAAAUCAAAAACCUUUGCAAGAUGACCUCACUAAACACACACACACACACAUUAUUUUCUCUAACCCUUCUCUACCUAGGAUAGAACACAAUUAAAUUUCAAAGGAACUCCAUUUUUCUAACCCUUCUAACCUAAUGCUCUAAAAUAUAUUUUUGCUCUAACCUAGCUUUUUGCUCUAAUGAACCUAAUUUUUGCUCUAACCUAGCUUUUUAACCUAAUUAGCUUUUUGACCUAAUGUUGUUUAACCUAGUUUACCAAGAUAAUUAACCUAAUUAAACUAGUUAACCUAGCUAGUUCUCUAUCAAAGCCCUAAAUAAUUUUUUGCACUAACAUAGAUAAUUAACCUAAUUAAACUAGUUAACCUAACUAGUUCUCUGUCAAAGCCCUAACUAAAUUUUUGCACUAACCUAGAUAAUUAAACUAAUUAAACUAGUUAACCUAACUAGUUCUCUGUCAAAGCUCUAACUUAAUUUUUGCACUAACCUAGAUAAUUAACCUAAUUAAACUAGUUAACCUAGAUAGCUACUUCUCUGUCCAGUGUUUGUGCUAUGCAUGAGAGAGAGACAGGAGGGGUGCGGGCUUACAGAGGAUGGCUCCGGUGGUGGCGAGGGAGGCAGGGGCAUCUCCGGUGACGGCGAGGGAGCUAGUUGUGGCGAGGGAGGCUCCGGUGGCAUUGGGGACGGCUCCGCUGGCAUCGACGGCGCGUGGCUCUGGUGGCUCCGGGGGCACCGACAUCGGCAGGAGACGGCAGUGAAGUGGGGUGAUGGUGAAUUGGGGAGACGGCGGUGAAGUGGGGCGAGGGAUUUGGGGGAGAAGUGGUGGCCCAGGGGAAACCGUUUUGGGGUUAAGUCAAACUUAGCGGUAGCGCGUUUUGCAAAAUGCGCUAUAGCUAAGAUAGCUAUAGAGAUUUUUACGAAACGCGCUACUGCUAUAGCUAUGUAAUUUCCUUUUAUUUUCUUAUUUCAUUUUCUGCUUCUAUAGCGGGGGUCUAGGAAACGCGCUGCUGCUAUAUUAUCUAUAGCGCCUCUUAUGAACAAACGCUACUGCUAUGCCUUUCUCCUUUUUUUCCUUUUUCAUUUAUUUUUCUUUACAUUUUAUUUUUUUCCUUUCUCCUUUUUCUAUUUCUUUCAUUUUCAUUUACUUUUAUAUUUGUUUUUUAUUUUAUUUUAUUUCCAUUAGUAGUAGCGCUUUUUAUAGAAAACGCGCUGCUACAUAGAUCCUAGCGGUAGCACGCUUUUUACAAGACCGCUACUACUAUGUGUAGCCUAUCGGCUUAGUAAUGGGAAUAUUAGUAGUAGCGCUUUUACAAAGUCACGCGCUACUGCUACAUUUUUAUCUGUAGCGCCCUUUUUGCGCACGCGCUACUGCUAUCUAGCACUAGUGCCCUUUUUUAACGCGCGCUACUGCUAAAGUUCUGUGUAUAAGGUUUUCCCUAGUAGUGGCUGGCCUCCCUUUUCAACAAAUAUUUUGCAUAUUUCACGAGCAAAUAUAUAGUUUCACAAUGAAAUAAAGCAUAGUUUCACAACCAAAGAAAGCAUUGUUUUACAAGCCGAACAAAAAUUAAUUUGUCUCACAUAGUUCUACAAGCCGAAUAAAAAGGGUACAUCUAUUGGUUGCCAACAUGAGCCCACAUAUUCUCAACCAAAUCAUUUUGCAGUUGCAUGUGAGUUUCCCAGUCACGCAUUUCAUGAUGAAAUUGGGUGAACUAUUCAAACGUUGCCACUCCUCCAUGCUCAGGCACAACAUUCUCACCCUGAAACUAAAAUCCUUGAUCGUAGAUACAUUCCAGAUGCUCAUCUUCUAUGAUCAUAUUAUGCAUGAUCACACAAGCAGUCAUCACCUCCCACGGCUUCUUUAUGCUCCAAGUCCUAGCAGGAACCGAACGAUGCCCCAUCGAGAUUGCAAAACACCAAAGGCAUGCUCGACAUCCUUCCUAGCACUCUCUUGCUCUUGGGCAAAUCUUUUCCUCUUCUCUCCGACAGGGUUGGGGAUUGUCUUCACAACAGUGGUCCACUUAGGAUAGAUACCAUCACCUAGGUAGUAUCAUUUGCCGUAGUUGUGGCCAUUGAUGAUAACAUUCACCGACAAGUUGUUGCCUUCGGCAAGCCUUGCAAACACCGGCGAGCAUUGAAGCAUGUUGAUAUCAUUGUGUGAUCCGGCCAUGCCGAAGAAAGAGUGCCAGAUCCAGAGAUCUUGUGAUGCCACAGCCUCAAGUAUGACAGUGCAAGCCAUGACAUGGCCCUUAUACUGCCCUUGCCAAGCAGAAGGGCAGUUCUUCCACUCCUAGUGCAUGCAGUCUAUGCUGCCAAGGAUCCCUAGGAAGCCCCUGCUGGCAUUCAUCGCCAACAAGUGGGUUGUAUCUUGAGGAGUUGGCUUUCUCAAGUACUCAGGGCCAAACACAACAAUCACAACCUUGCAGAACUUGUACAUGAAGUUUAGGCAUGUAGACUCGCUCAUACGGACGUACUCAUCAAUGAGAUCACCGGGCACUCCGUAUGCAGCAUACGGACGGCUGCAGUGCAUUCCUGAUAAGAUGAGAAGCCAAUCUUUCCAAGGGCAUCCCUUUGCACUCGAAAUAGUCAUCAUAUCCGUCCACCCCCUCUCUAAUACGGUUGAAAAGAUGCCUACUCAUACGAAAACAUCGCCGGAAUUUCUGAUGUUUGAACAGUGGGGUGGUUGUGUCAAGGUAGUCCUUCCAAAGAAGGAAAUGGCCGCUCUCUCGGUUGCGAUUCAACACCGGAAGGUCCCCCGGUAUGGAGCCACGGAACAACGGCCGCUGGCUAUUAAGGUGGUGAUGGACCAACACGGUAGCCAAGAUCUCCUCCUCAUCAUCGGACGAGGAAUCGUCGGAGUCGCAAAGGAAAUUGGAAAAAGAACUCGUCGGUGGAUUCCAUCUUAUACCUUGGAAAACUGUCAAACACCUUGCGGGCAUCGAUGAAGGAGCCGGUCGGCGAAGUGAGGCGCGCCUCCCUUGGACCAGGUGGCUGGCCUGGAGGCGUCCGACAAGAGUGUCGGCCUCCGACGAGCGUGCCGGCGUCCGGAUGAAGGAGCUGGUUGGGGCGGCGAGGCGGCUUCCUGGUCGUGGCAGUGUCGGGGAGGUGGGGGUGGGAAGCUUUCAGUGUCCCGGCGGCGAGACGGUGGUGACGGCGACGUGGGAGGAGGCGGAUGUUGGGAAACAUAGCAUGCAAUUUCAAAAAAAUUCCUACGCUCAUGCAAGAUCUAUCUAGGAGAUGCAUAGCAAUGAGAGGCGGAGGGUGUGUCCAUGUACCCUUGUAGACCAAAAGCGGAAGCGUUUGCCGACGCGGUUGAUGUAGUCGAACUUCUUCUCGUUCCGACCGAUCAAGUACGGAACGUACGUCACCUCCGAGUUCUGCACAUGUUCAGCUCGAUGACGUCCCUCGAACUCUUGAUCCAGCAAAGUGUCGAGGAAGUAGAAGAGUUCUGUUAGCACGACAGCGUGGUGACGGUGAUAGUGUCGUUAUUCACGCAAGGUUUUGCCUAAGCACUACGUGAAUAUGACCGGAGGCGUAAACUAUGGAGGGGGGCGCCGCACACGGCUAGGAAUCAAUGUUGUGUGUUCUAGCGGUGCCCCCCCCCCACAUAUAUAUAGGUGGGAGAGGGAGGGGAGUAGGAAGGGCAUCCCAAGUAGGAGGGAUCCUACUUGGGCGCCAUGUCCAAGUCGGCCUCCCCCCUUCCAUAAGUAUCGGAGGGAGAAGGAAAGAGAUGGGGGAGGUUGAAUCAUCCAAUUUCCUUCUCCCUUAUGUCCUUUCCUUCUCCUCCUAUUUUGGCCUAUAUGGGGGUGCACCAGCCCCUUGUGGGCUGGUCUGUCCAUCUCUCGGCCCAAUAAGGCCCAUAUCUUUGUCGGGGGUGCCCGGAACCCCUUUCAAGUGACCCGAUACGUACCAGUACCCCCAGGACACUUCUGGUGUCCGAAUACUAUCAUCCUAUAUAUCAAUCUUUACCUCUCGAUCAUUUCGAGACUCCUCGUCAUGUCCGUGAUCUCAUUCAGGACUCCGAACAACAUUUGGUCACCAAAUCACAUAAUUCAUAUUAUACAAAAUCAUCAUUAAACAUUAAGCGUGCGGACCCACGGGUUUGAGAACUAUGAAGACAUGACCGAGACACUUCUCCAGUCAAUAACCAAUAGCGGAACCUGGUUGCUCAUAUUGGCUCCCACAUAUUCUACGAAGAUCUUUAUCGGUCGAAUCGUUAUGACAACAUAUGUUAUUCCCUUUGUCAUCGGUAUGUUACUUGCCCGAGAUUCGAUCGUUGGUAUCUUCAUACCUAGUUCAAUCUCGUUACCAGCAAGUCUCUUUACUCGUUAUGUAAUGCAUCAUCUUGCAACUAACUUAUUAGUCACUUUGCUUGCAAGGCUUCUUAUGAUGUGCAUUACCGAGAGGGCCCAGAGAUACCUCUCCGAUACUCAGAGUGACAAAUCCUAAUCUCGAUCUAUGCCAACCCAACAAGCACCUUUGGAGAUACCUGUAGAGCAUCUUUAUAAUCACCCAGUUACGUUGUGAUGGUUGAUAGCACACAAGGUACUCCUCCGAUAUCCGGGAGUUGCAUAAUCUCAUAGUCGGAGGAAUAUGUAUUUGACAUGAAGAAAGCAGUAGUAAUAAAACUGCACGAUCAUAAUGCUAAGCUAAUGAAUGGGUCUUGUCCAUCACAUCAUUAUCCUAAUGAUGUGAUCCUGUUUAUCAAAUGACAACGCAUGUCUAUGGUUAGGAAACUUAACCAUCUUUGAUUAAUGAGCUAGUCAAGUACAGGCAUACUAGGAACACGUUGUUUUGUCUAUGUAUACACACAUGUAUCGAGUUUCUGGUUAAUACAAUUCUAGCAUGAAUAAUAAACAUUUAUCAUGAAUAAGGAAAUAUAAAAUAACCAUUUUAUUAUUGCCUCUAUGGCAUAUUUCCUUCAGUCUCCCACUUGCACUAGGGUCAAUAAUCUAGAUUACAUUGUAAUGAUUCCAACACCCAUGGAGUCUUGGUGCUGAUCAUGUUUUUCUCGUGGAAGAGGCUUAGUCAACGGGUCUGCUACAUUCAGAUCCGUAUGAAUUUUGCAAAUUUAUAUGUCUCCCUUCUUGACUAGAUAACGGAUGGAGUUGAAGCGUCUCUUGAUGUUUUUGGUCUUUUGUGAAAUAUGGAUUCCUUCGCCAAGGCAAUUGCUCCAGUAUUGUCACAAAAGAUUUUCAUUGGACCGGUGCACUAGGUAUAACACCUAGAUCGGAUAUGAACUCCUUCAUCCAAACUUCUUCAUUUGCUGCUUCCGAAGCAGCUAUGUACUCCACUUCACACGUAGAUCCCGCCAUGACGCUCUGCUUGGAACUGCACCAACUGACAGCUCCACCAUUCAAUAUAAAUACGUAUCCGGUUUGUGACUUAGAGUCAUCCGGAUCAGUGUCAAAACUAGCAUCGACGUAACCAUUUACCACGAGCUCUUUGUCACCUCCAUAAAUGAGAAACAUAUCCUUAGUCCUUUUCAGGUACUUCAGGAUAUUCUUGACUGUUGUCCAAUGAUCCAUUCCUGGAUUACUUUGGAACCUCCCUUCUAAACUUAUAGCAAGGCACACAUCAGGUCUGGUACACAGCAUAGCAUAUAUGAUAGAACCUAUGGUUGAGGCAUAGGGAAUGACUUUCAUUUUUUAUCUAUCUUCUGCAUUUGUCGGGCAUUGAGUCUAACUCAACUUCACACCUUGUAACACAGGCAAGAACCCUUUUGACUGAUCCAUUUUGAACUUCUUCAAAACUUUAUCAAGGUAUGUGCUUUGUGAAAGUCCUAUUAAGCGUCUUGAUCUAUCUCUAUAGAUCUUGAAGCCCAAUAUAUAAGCAGCUUCUUUGAGGUCUUUCAUUGAAAAACUUUUAUUCAAGUAUUCUCUAUGGGUCACCGAUCAUCGCGCAAAUCCACCAAAGUCCACACUUUGUUCUCAUACAUGGAUCCUAUCUCAGAUUUCAUUGCCUCAAGCCAUUUAUCAGAAUCUGGGCUCAUCAUAGCUUCUUCAUAGUUCGUAGGUUCGUCAUGGUCAAGUAACAUGACUUCCAGAACAGGAUUUCCGUACCACUAUGGUGUGGACCGUGCUCUGGUAGACCUGCGAGGUUCAGUAGUAACUUGAUCUAUAGUUUCAUGAUCACAUCAUUAGCUUCCCCUCUAGUUGGUGUAGGCAUCAUGGGAACGGAUUUCUUGGAUGAGCUACUUUCCGAAUUGAGGGAAGGUUCAAUUACCUCAUCAAGUUCUACUUUCCUCCCACUCACUUCUUUAGAGAGAAACUCCUUCUCUAGAAAGGUUCCAUUCUUGGCAACAAAGAUCUUGCCUUCAGAUUUGUGGUAGAAGGUGUAUCCAAUUGUUUCUUUAGGGUAUCCUAUGAAGACGCACUUCUGUGAUAUGGGUUCGAGCUUAUCAGGCUGAAGCCUUUUGACAUAAGCAUCGCAUCCCAAAACUUUAAAAAACGACAGUUUAGGUUUAUUGCCAAACCACAGUUCAUACGGUGUCGUCUCAACGGAUUUUGACGGUGCCCUGUUUACUGUGAAUGCAGCUGUCUCUAAUGCAUAACCCCAAAAUGAUAGUGGUAAAUCAGUAAGAGACAUCAUAGAUCACACAAUAUCUAAUAAAGUAUGGUUACGACGUUCGGACACACCAUUACGCUGUGGUGUUCCAGGUGGCGUGAGUUGUGAAACUAUUCCACAUUGUUUUAAAUGAAAUCCAAACUAGUAACUCAAAUAUUCACCUCCAUGAUCAGAUCGUAGAAACUUUAUUUUCUUGUUACGAUGAUUCUCCACUUCACUCUGAAAUUCUUUGAACUUUUCAAAUGUUUCAGACUUGUGAUCCAUUAAGUAGGUAUACCCAUAUUUGUUCAAAUCAUCUAUGAAGGUCAGAAAAUAACGAUACCCUCAGCGAGCUUCAACACUCAUGGGACCGCAUACAUCAGUAUGUAUUAUUUCCAAUAAGUCAUUGGCUCGCUCCAUUGUUCCGGAGAACGGAGUUUUAGUCAUCUUGCCCAUGACGCAUGGUUCGCAAGUAUCAAAAGAUUCAUAAUCAAGUGAUUCCAAAAGUCCAUCUGCAUGGAGUUUCUUCAUGCGCUUUACACCAAUAUGACCUAAAUGGCAGUGCCACAAGUAUAUUGCACUAUCAUUAUCAACUUUGCAUCUUUUAGCAUCAAUAUUAUGAAUAUGUGUAUCACCGCAAUCGAGAUUCAACGCAAAUAGAUCACUCUUCAAGGGUGCAUGACCAUAAAAGAUAUUACUCAUAUAAAUAGAACAACCAAUAUUCUCUGAUUUAAAUGAAUAACCAUCUCGCACUAAACAAGAUCUAGAUAUAAUGUUCAUGCUCAACGCUGGCACCAAAUAACAAUUACCAGGUCUAAAACAAAUCCCAAAGGUAGAUGUAGAGGUAGCAUGCCGACUGCGAUCACAUCGACCUUGGAACCAUUCCCGACGCGCAUCGUCACCUCGUCCUUAGCCAGUCUUCGUUAAUCUGUAGUCCCUGUUUCGAGUUACAAAUAUGAGCAACCGAACCGGUGUCAAAUACCUAGGCACUACUACGAGCAUUAGUAAGGUACACAUCAAUAACAUGUAUAUCAAAUAUACCUUUGUUCACUUUGUCAUCCUUUUUGUCUGCCAAAUACUUGGGGCAGUUCCGCUUACAGUAACCAGUGCCUUUGUAGUAGAAGCACUCAGUUUCAAGCUUGGGUCCAGCUUUGGGCUUCUUCCCCGGAGUGGCAACUUGCUGCCAUUCUCCUUGAAGUUCCCCUUCUUUCCUUUGCCCUUUUUCUUGAAACUAGUGAUCUUGUUAACCAUCAACACUUGAUGCUCCUUCUUGAUUUCUACCUGCGGAGCUUUGAGCAUUGCGAAGAGCUCGGGAAUAGUCUUUUCCAUCCCUUUCAUAUUAUAGUUCAUCACGAAGCCUUUAUUGCUUGGUGACAUGAUUCGAGAACUCUGUGAAUGACACAAUCAUCUGGAAGAUUAACUCCCAGCUGAGUCAAGUGAUUAUGAUAUCCAGACAUUCUGAGUAUGUGUUCACCGAUAGAACUGUUCUCCUCCAUCUUGCAGCUAUAGAACUUGUUGGAGACUUCAUAUCUCUCAACUCGGGCAUUUGCUUGAAAUGUAUUAACUUCAACUCCUAGAACAUCUCAUAUGGUCCAUGACGUUCAAAACAUCUUUGAAAUCCCGAUUCUAAGCCGUAAAGCAUGGCACACUUAAUUAUCGAGUAGUCAUCAGAUUGACCUUGCCAGACGUUCAUAAUGUCAGCAUCUGCUCCUGCAGCAGGCCUUUCACCUAGCGGUGCAUCAAGGACAUAAUUCUUAUGUGCAGCAAUGAGGAUAAUCCUCAAGUUAUGGACCCAGUCCGUGUAGUUGCUACCAUCAUCUUUCAACUUAGCUUUCUCUAGGAACACAUUAAAAUUCAAGGGAACGGUAGCACGGGCCAUUGAUCUACAACAUAGAUAUGCAAAAACUAUCAGGACUAAGUUCAUGAUAAAUUAAGUUCAAUUAAUCAUAUUACUUAAGAACUCCCACUUAGAUAGACAUCCCUCAAGUCAUCUAAAUGAUACGUGAUCCAAAUCAACUAAACCAUGUCCGAUCAUCACGUGAGAUGGAGUAGUCAUCAAUGGUGAACAUCUCUCUGUUGAUCAUAUCUACUAUAUGAUUCAAGUUCGACCUUUCGGUCUCCAGUGUUCUGAGGCCAUGUCUGUACAUGCUAGGCUUGUCAAGUUUAACCCGAGUAUUUCGCAUGUGCAAAACUGGCUUGCACACGUUGUAUGUGAACGUAGAGCCUAUCACACCCGAUCAUCAUGUGGUGUCUCAGCAUGAAGAACUUUCACAAUGGUGCAUAUUCGGGGAGAACACUUAUACCUUGAAAUUUAGUUAAGGGGUCAUCUUAUAAUGCUACCGCCGUACUAAGAAAAAUAAGAUGCAUAAAGAUAAACAUCACAUGAAAUCAAAAUAUGUGACAUGAUAUGACCAUCAUCAUCUUGUGCUUUUGAUCUCCAUCUUGAAAGCAACGCCAUGAUCUCCAUCAUCACCGGCUUGACACCUUGAUAUCCAUCGUAGCGUCGUGGUCGUCACGCCAACUAUUGCUUCUACAACUAUCACUACCACUUAGUGAUAAAGUAAAGAAAUUACAUGGCGUUUGCAUUUCAUACAAUAAAGCGACAACCAUAAGGCUCCUGCCAGUUGCCGAUAACUUUUACAAAACAUGAUCAUCUAAUACAACAACGUAUAUCACAUCAUGUCUUGACCAUAUCACAUCACAACAUGCCUUGCAAAAACAAGUUAGACGUCCUCUACUUUGUUGUUGCAAGUUUUACGUGGCUGCUACGGGCUUCUAGCAACAACCGUUCUUAGCUACUGCAUAAAACCACAACGAUGAUUUAUCAAGUUAGCUGUUUUAACCUUCAACAAGGACCGGCCGCAGUCAAAUUCGAUUCAACUAAAGUUGGAGAAACAGACACCCGCGAGUCACCUUUAUGCAAAACUAGUUGCAUGUCUGUCGGUGGAACCAGUCUCAUGAAUGUGGUCAUGUAAGGUUGGUCCGGGCCGCUUCAUUCAACAAUACCACCAAUCAAAAUAAGACAUUGGUGGUAAGCAGUAUGACGAUCACCGCCCACAGCUCUUUGUGUUCUACUCGUGCAUAUCAUCUACGCAUAGACCUGGCUUCGAUGCCAAUGUUGGGGAACGUAGCAUGCAGUUUCAAAAAAAAUCCUACGCUCACACAAGAUCUAUCUAGGAGAUGCAUAGCAACAAAAGCGGAAGCAUUUGCCAAUGCGAUUGAUGUAGUCGAACUUCUUCUCGUUCCGACCGAUCAAGUACCGAACGUACGGCACCUCCGAGUUCUUCACAUGUUCAGCUCGAUGACAUCCCUCAAACUCUUGAUCCAGCAGAGUGUCGAGGAAGUAGAAGAGUUCCGUCAGCACGACAGUGUGGUGACGGUGAUGGUAAAGUUAUUCGCGCAGGGCUUCACCUAAGCACUACAUGAAUAUGACCGGAGGCAUAAACUGUGGAGGGGGGCGCUGCACAUAGCUAGGAAUCAAUGUUGUGUGUUCUAGUGGUGCCCCCCACAUAUAUAUAGGUGGGAGAGGGAGGGGAGCAGAAAGGGGCGCCCCAAGUAGGAGGGUUCCUACUUGGGCGCCUCCUCCAAGUCGGCCUCUCCCCUUCCAUAAAUAUCGGAGGGGGAAGGAAAGAGAGGGGGAGGGAAGGAAGGGGGAAGGCUGAAUCUUCCCCUUUCCUUCUCCCUUCCGUCCUUUCCUUCUCCUCCUAUUUCAGCCUAUAUGGAUGGGGGCGCCCCUUGUGGGCUGGUAUGUCUAUCUCUCGGCCCAAUAAGGCCCAUAUCUUUGCCGGGGUGCCCGGAACCCCUUUCCGGUUACCAGAUACAUACCCGGUACCCCCAGAACACUUUCGGUGUCCGAAUACUAUCGCGCUAUAUAUCAAUCUUUACCUCUCGACCAUUUUGAGACUCCUCGUCAUGUCUGUGAUCUCAUCCGGGACUCCGAACAACGUUCGGUCACCAAAUCACAUAACUCAUAUUAUACAAAAUCGUCAUCGAACGUUAAGCGUGCGGACCCUACGGGUUGCAGAACUAUGUAGACAUGACUGAGACACUUCUCCGGUUAAUAACCAAUAGGGGAACCUGGAUGCUCAUAUUGGCUCCCAUAUAUUCUAUGAAGAUCUUUAUUGGUCGAAUCGUUAUCACAACAUAUGUUAUUCCCUUUGUCAUCGGUAUGUUACUUGCCCGAGAUUCGAUCGUUGGUAUCUUCAUACCUAGUUCAAUCUCAUUACCGGCAAGUAUCUUUACUCGUUCCGUAAUGCAUCAUCCUGCAACUAACUCAUUAGUCACUUUGCUUGCAAGGCUUCUUAUGAUGUGCAUUACCGAGAGGGCCCAUAGAUACCUCUCCAAUACUCGGAGUGACAAAUCCUAAUCUCGAUCUAUGCCAACCCAAAAAAAACCUUCGGAGAUACCUGUAGAGCAUCUUUAUAACCACCCAGUUACGUUGUGUCGUUUGAUAGCACACAAGGUAUUCCUCCGGUAUCCGGGAGUUGCAUAAUCUCAUAGUCGGAGGAAUAUAUAUUUGACAUGAAGAAAGCAGUAGCAAUAAAAUUGAACGACCAUAAUGCUAAGCUAACGAAUGGGUCUUGUCCAUCACAUCAUUCUCCUAAUGAUGUGAUCCCGUUCAUCAAAUGAUAACACAUGUCUAUGGUUAGGAAACUUAAUCAUCUUUGAUUAACAAGCUAGUCAAGUAGUGGCAUACUAGGGACACGGUGUUUUGUCUAUGUAUCCACACAUGUAUCAAGUUUCCGGUUAAUACAAUUCUAGCAUGAAUAAUAAACAUUUAUCAUAAAUAAGGACAACUUUAUUAUUGCCUCUAGGGCACAUUUCCUUCAGUGGCGUUGGGGGGAGAUGUUGCGGCACCGGCUGCUGGAAGAGGCACCGGAAAAAUGGGCGGCAACGGCAUUGAUGAAGGAGGCGGGCGAGGGUUUGUUGUUGGAAUGGAAGAGGAUGGCCAAUGUGCCACCGACUAGCGGUCCGGGGGGAGUAGUCCGUUUUGUGUCCUCGCCGACGCAAUGCUCAAAAUUGGGCCGGGAAUAGGUCGGCAUGCGGACAAAAAGCGGACGCAUGUCCGUUUGGGUCGGCACAUUGGGCUGACUUUUCUGUCCGCGCCGAUCCAAACGGACGUGCGCGGACGAAAUUGAGGGCGCGUUGGAGUUGCUCUUGUUGCCGAACUGCCGAACUGCCGGUGUGCAGUGUGGAGGCCAAAUUUCGUGUUUUGACCCUUUUGCGAAAGUUUAACAGGAUCUGACCCUGGUUCGAAAUAAUUUCAGGAUUUGACUCUUUUACUACAGGCAUAGUCUCUGACGGUAAGGUAACACUGCCUAUCGCCACGGUCUCCGGCGGUAGGAUUUAACUGUGUUAUGACAUCGUCAUAACAUAAAAAAUAUACUACCACCAAGGUCCUUGGCGAUAGACCAUUGUACCCUAUAGGGUCUGGCACUAACUUUUCUUUGAAAAUGAGGUCGCCCGUAGGCAGGGCAUGAUGGUGUUUUGCAAUUAUGUGGCUGCAAAUAUGCAGGCUACCUGUGCUGCCUACUGCAUGCCUAGCUACCCAUGCAUCCCAUCAAUUGUUUAAGUUUGUUGCAUGUCCAAGCUAAAAGCUACUUCCUCCGUCCCAUAAUAAAAAAGCGUUUCUGAUACUAGUGUAGUGUUAAAAAUACUUUUAUAUUAUGAGACGGAGGAAGUACAUAUUAAUAAUAUUGAUGCAUGUGGGUGAAAAAAGAAAGGGGGAGAUGGAUGCGAAUGAAUAUUCGUACUAUGCAGUGUCAAAAACCACUCCUCGCAUGCACUCAUCUCGUAAUAGUGAAAUAGCCUACUGUCAAGUACCAUGGCGGUAGGGUUACACAGCCUACCAUCAACUACUCUGGCGGUAGGAUAUUUUGCACGUUAAAUGACCGUGACGGCGUAGUUAAAUCCUAUCGUCAUUGAUUUUGGUGGUAGGUUGUGUAACCCUACCGUUAAUGACUACGACGGUAGGAAAAGGGUUAGAUUCUGAUUUUUUUCAAAUCAGGGUCAGAUUCAGCUAAACUUUCACAAAAGAAUCCAAACACGAAAUUUGGCCCAGUGUGGAUUGGGAGGAACUACACCGCGCACUCCGCAAGCGCAAGGUACCGGUAGGCAGCAUAUCUGUCGAUCGGCGGCUCUUGGUGAGGGGUAGUAAAUUUCCGUGGGAGCGCCCCGGGGUCGGUGGGUGGUCUCUACUGUACGUCCCGUCCGAUACCCACGCAGAGAGCCUCACAGUCAGUCACAAGACGACGUGUUGUUCGUGGGGCGGCGUCCUGCUGUUCCUCGAUCCCGUCCCGCCGGCCACGGUCACGGUCACGGCGUGCCCCUACCCGAGCAUUAACUUCGGCCCGGCGUACGUGCUGCCUGGGCUACUGUUUCUUGUUUCGUUUUUUGCCUGAAUGCCUGAUCAUUUCGUGAUGCAAGCUUGUCCGUCAGCAGCACACGUGUACGGCACAUCCAUCCGAGAUGAACUAUCAUCCUGUAGUUCAUGAACAAGCAACUGUUUUCCUCUCCUGUGUGCAUGCUAAUCAAGGAUGUAAGCUGGAGCAAGGAACGGUACGAGUAAAUGUAGAGAAUCCAAUGACUUCAUCUAGUUACGACAAACAGAAAAAUGGGGAGGCGACAAGGCUGGCCUACCCCGACCGGCGACCUGAUCGGAUCAUAUCAGACCAGGUCAUCCUGACCCUGGACCCGAGCUGCAUGAUGACCAUAGGCCAUGUUCUUUUCACAUUAAAACUGGGCAAGGUACUGGUACUAUAUGAUAAUCGGUCACUUCCAAUCAAUGAAACAAGAUGAUGCUAGUACCUUCUGGGAUUUGAGACCAUCACGAGCUAGAACAAGCAUCAGCUAAAAUACGUAACGCAAGGGGAAGUAAAAGCGAUCAGAUCGGCGUGUCUUGCAUGCACUGAACCGCAAUGCACGAAUACACGAACAGGUGGAAUUCAUACGAGUACCCAAAGUUCAGAAGGAAAAAAAAACGAACAAUUUCUCGCAAAAAAAAAUAAUAUUAAUCAUGAACAAGGAACCUCAUUGCGUCGACGGAAAUACACCACCCGUUCUAAUUUAUAAUGCAUCCACACAUGUUAAGAUUUAAAACCACCACUUUAAAAAGUGGGGCGUUUUGGAGCUCGGCCUCCAUGGAGGCCGAAAUAUUUGAAAAAUUCAAAAAUUAUUUUUUCUGUUUCAAAUAAAUUCGAAAAUAAAUUGUACAAGUAGAUAAGGAUGUGAUGUGAUGUGUGUGUGUGUAAAUAUUUAUAAUGAAAUAUGUUGAAACGCAACCUUUACAAAAAAGACAAACAGGAUGAAUAAUAUCAUGUGCUAAAGAACCCCAGAUUUUCUUUUUGCACAGCCCUCAUUCAAUGUAUUUCGUCCUAAAAAAUUACAUAUAUGUGUGUUGUGCCUCCAUGUAUAUCUGUAUUUUUUCAGAUUUUUUUGAAACUAAGAAAUAUGAAUUUUGUUGUAUUUUGAAAAUUACAAAUGGAGGCCUCCAUAGAGCGAGCUAGGCCUCCAAAAGCAAUUUUCACUUUAACCAUAAAUAUAGCAUGCAUUAAUUACUCUGAAAUAUGUUAAAUACUGAAACAUGCAAACAACGAGUUAGAAUGGCGUUUCACAGCAGAUAACUAUGAAAGCAAGUUAAAAAGAGAGCCGUGGAAAUCAAACAAAGGUAGUAGCUAAUUAACUAAAGCCUUGUCACUCUAAGUCCUUUUAUUACCAACUUAUCACGCUUACGACCGUUGGUUAGUUUUUGCUCCAGUUUGCCAAGUUUGAGUUACCAAAUAAUUAGAAUGGUUUAUCUUGUUUUCUUACUUCCUCCAAUUCAAAUUAAUUAACGUACAAUUAGUACAACUCUAUUGCGUAAAUUAAUAUGGAUCGAAGGGAGUAGUUUUCUGUUCUCAGUUUUCUUGCAAGCUUUAGGGAUGCAAUUUGUAGCACGUACUUGCGGAGGCACCGACCCAUUUUCUUUUUUUUUGGCUUUCAUUUCACAAUCUUGCAUGUCUUUUGAACCAAAAGUACAAACUACGUUUUGUUUGCAUAUUCGUGUUUUUUAUGACGAGGGCCUUGAAAUAAAACCACCUUUGAAUAUGUUUUGAAAAGUUUUGAAAACUUCAUCAAGUUUGAAAUGCCGAAACUUAAUACGAACGAAUGCCAAAAUCAUCAAGUUUCACAAACUAAAAUUAAAAACUUGGUGUGCCCUCAUGCGGAAUCCACCGGUAUUGUAGAUUGCGAAACAACCAUGCGGCCAGGCACGGCUGGGCAGGUGUGUGCCCCUGCGCCUACAUGCCCCUAUGAAUUUCUCUAAGCAUGUGCUUGUUUUUAAAAAAAAAUCUUGCUGUGGAUGAUAGACGUACCAUCAUCACCAACUGAAUCUUUAUGGUUUUUGGAUUAGGAUAAAUACACUUUUUAAAUAGUCCUAUAAUAUGGGAUUAGUGGGGAGCCGAAAAAUCACUAAGAGCCAAGGAGUGGUUACAUAGCAUGAGCGUGGUUGUUCUACAUCCAGACACACUGCACCACGGUGAACAGUAAAAAAGCAAACAAAAUUAAAAAAUUAUGGAACUUUAUGACUUAGAUUAUGACCAAAUGUUGUAGGUGCUUACAAAAUUUGAUGGCCAAAUGAUAUCCGAGGAGCUCUAUACAUAAAAUAACAAACUUGGUGCUCAAACUUUUAUGCACUAUUGAGCACAUCUUUUGUUUUGUUUAUAUGGAGCUCAUCGGCUGUUAUCCAAAUUUUGCAAGCGCCUACAAAAUUUGGUCAUAAUCGAAGCCACAACGUUUUAGUUUUUUUUUCUGUUCAUCACAGGCGCAGUGUGUCUGGUGUAGCCACAACUUUCCCUACAUAGCAACUGAAAAACAAUAUUGAUUACAUAGCAUCAAAUGUAUGUACCCGGUUUUAAGGAGAUGACAAAUAUUUCAAGGUUCACCACGAUUGACCAGGUACUGUCAUGCAUUGUGAAAUGAUGUACUCUUGUUGUAAAUCAAGACAAAAGUACAUACAAAGUGUACUUACGCCAAGAGAGAAAGUGAUACGUCAAGGUUUGUAUAUUUGUUUGAGGCUCCUCUGGACAAAAUAUACUUAGGAGGAAAACACAGGACUCAAAGCAUAAGGGUAAAUUUGUACUGAUUCAUAAUUGUAGUAUUGCACCAAGCCCAGCAAUAGUCACAUGAUACUGUUCUUUCUACAUUUUUUUGUUGUUGUUGUGUGUGUNNNNNNNNNNNNNNNNNNNNNNNNNNNNNNNNNNNNNNNNNNNNNNNNNNNNNNNNNNNNNNNNNNNNNNNNNNNNNNNNNNNNNNNNNNNNNNNNNNNNNNNNNNNNNNNNNNNNNNNNNNNNNNNNNNNNNNNNNNNNNNNNNNNNNNNNNNNNNNNNNNNNNNNNNNNNNNNNNNNNNNNNNNNNNNNNNNNNNNNNNNNNNNNNNNNNNNNNNNNNNNNNNNNNNNNNNNNNNNNNNNNNNNNNNNNNNNNNNNNNNNNNNNNNNNNNNAUGCAUCUUCUCUCCUCUCUCUAAGCAAGUAAGACAUAAUCUAAAAAAAUGUUGUGUUUUUCCUUGUGCAUCGGUCAGAGGCUUCUUCUCGAGUACUCAACUACUCCCGGUAUCGCUGGUAUCACGGAUAUCUAACAUGUAGUGCAGUUUAAAUACUUGGAAACUUUAUUUUGAAUUUUGAUUCCUGCUUACUUCUGAAAUGCAGUGACCUAAUAUUCAGUAGCAAACAUUUCUGGACUAAAGAGCUUAGGAAUCUAUCAUGAGAAUUAGGGGGUGUUUGUUUUCAGGGACCUUUUGGUGUAGGGACUAGAAAAAGUCCCUAACAAACCAAACAGGGUAGGACUUUUUGCUAAAAGUCCUUAGAAGCACCUCCUUGAGAGUCUUUUUCAAAAAGUCCCAGGGACUAGAAAAAGUCCUAGGACUAGAGAAACAAACACCACCUUACUCCUUCCGAGUUCAGAAAGCACCCAGGGAAAAAAAGUCAAACAUUAAUGAAACCAUGCCAAACAUCCCCCCUGAUUAAACGUAAACAAACCCUCCUCAAAAUUUGGACCUAACUUUGCCUAUGAAUUUGAGUAUUUGACCAAGAAAUUAUGAGUAAUAUGGCACAGGUUACUACCUACCAUUGGGUUCGUAUUUGAAAGAGCAGUUGCAACACUGCUAUAGGUACUUAUUUGCUAAAGAAAAUGCUAUAGGUACGACAUAUUUCCGUCCAACACUCGUACGAUUAGAGAUGAGUCAGUUUUGUGGCCCUUUGUAUGUUGUAUCGGACAAAAAUGGUGGUUUCAUUGCAGUUGUGAGUUGUGUAACAAAUAUAUUUGAGCAUGCCUGCCAAAAUAUACGAAGGCUCUUAGGAAAUUUAUAUAUGCAUCAUUUUGGUGUGUCGACAUCUCUAGCUUGAUUAAAUAGAUGAAAAUUUCGCUCCGAAUAAUCGCAUCACUCUAUGCGAGAACUACUACUCCCUUGGUCCGGGUUUGUAACUCAGCCACGGAUUUUUACGUCUUCAAUUUUUAAGUAACAAGCUUAUAUGCCAUAAAAUAUAUGUUGAGGAACUUCAUUCGACAACGAAUCUAAGAAUAAACAUGUAGACCACAUGCAUAUUUGUACUCCGUAUAUACUUUCUACUCUACUAACCCUAUAUAAUGUAUUUUCCCCAAGAAAAUCCUAUAUAAUGUAAAUAGUAUGAUACACCUACAGCUGUUAAAUGCUCACAUCGGAAGUUGUUGCAAAUCCUACAAAGGAUUGCAUUGGAAAAGAAAGGGGUAGUAGUAGCAUGCAUGUGAAGCUAGACUGACUACCUCAGCUAUUGGCCAACAAGCUAUCAUAACACAGUUGGCGCGCAGCUGCGCGCUACCUAGCUGCUAGUACUAGUACUCAUAGAUGCGGUGCCCAAGAGAUCAUUUGAGGCGGCCAAAGGAUCCUGAUUGACUGGCCUCACAGGCCAGGUCUUUGUCGUGCAUUGUUGAGCUUUAAUGCAUGGUUGUGUACUUGUAUAGACAAUUAGACAUGCACGUAUGAACAGAUCUAUGCUCUCCUUUAAGUAGGUGGUAUAAUGGAGAUAUUUCAUGUUCUUCCUGCUGGUAUAUGCAACCAAAUCAUACAUAAUACCCAAAAAAGAGGAAGAACGAUUGAUGCUAGCCAUCAGUUGCUUGGAUCAAGAAGCAAGCACCAGAAACAAAUUAAGUAUUAAUCGACCCAGAAGUUCCUAUAAGAACAUCGCAAGAAGGAGAUCCACAAAACCAACGAAGAACAUACAAACGCAUAAGAUCUCCGAAGAGUGACCGAAACAAGCAGGGAUAGAUAAACCUGUGGUGUUUGAACGAAUACACAUGAUAAAUAGGGGACAGAUCGAUUGAUAAAAUCAUAGCAUAAUAAAUUAAGGACUGAGAUGUAGCACAUAACAUAACGUGGCAUGACAUACUUUAGCAAUCAGCAGCAGCUCACGUCUUGUCUUGCAUAAGCAGUUAUAGUUCCUGUAAAAAUAACACGGACGUCGAUUCGGACCAAGUCGCUUGAUUCCCCAUGGCCAUGGCGGCGUGGCGUACGAAGAGGAGGCAGCGCAGCUCUGGAGGAAGGAGGAGGGAGGAGUCUAGAAGGAGAUCGGGUGCAUCGAUCUGAUGAUGGUUUCUUGA